rnacentral:lncRNA from 1 species
CAGGUAAUGGAGCUUCAGACAAUAGGAUGUGAGACAGUGAGAGGUGAAGAUAGAGCAACAUACAUUUCUUGCCCAUGGAAUGAUGCCCAUCCAAUAUAUAGAGACUGCAAUUUUUAGCAACAUUGAAGUUGGCCUCUCAUUAAGACACUAAGAUCACAUUUAGAAAUCUCAAAGAAUUCUGAGAAUGUGUCGAUGCCUUGCAUCAUUCCAUUUAGAAAUCUGAGUCCCAGAAAGGUGUUGAUGCCGAUGUUCCGAAAUUUUGAGACCGUGUUGCAAUCUAUUCUCCUGCCACAGUAACAAGAUUUCUUUACAAUGAACAGUCAUGAUAAUUUCACAUCUCUAAUGCUAGCAUAAGCCACAUUGAGAAAACAAUUGAUCCUUGGGUUAUUACCAAUCUCUAAGGAAUUGAAAAAGGCCAGAUGGUCAAGCUCCAAAGUUCUUGACGACAUUCCCAGUUCACCAAUCAACGAUAGCAUCACAAGUGAAACAGAAGACACAAAGUCUGAAACAUUCAAAAUCAAAAGCAUCUGUUUUGAUUAUUUAGCAAGAAAAAUAACAUAAUGGAUCUUAUUUGUCUGUAUAUCAUGUUUAACAACACGCCAUUGCAUGACUCCUUAAUUGGCUUCCAAUAUUCAAAUAAUUCAAAGACACCAUUAUGUUUAUUAAUUCUGAUAUAAAAGGCUGUCAAAGAAGGGGGAUAUAAAUUUGUAGGAGAGUUAACAAACCUCUGGUUUUUUGUCGGCAAAAUCUCAUUAACUGGAUUCCUGAAAAAUGUAUUAAAAAUAAGUAAACGCUCAUCAGAGUUAAAUUCCAAAUCCAAAGUCAAUAGAAGGUUGUUUAUUGUAGAACUGAACACAAUUACUAAACCUUAUAAUGCACAAACAUAAAAUUGUCCUGAAACACAUUUUCCAUCUUAUCAUAUUCAAUUUAUGGCCUUCCUGCAUAACUGCAUUUUAUAUUUGAAAGGUAAAUCAGACAUUUUUUAUGUGAGUAAUAAGAAAGUAAAUGCCAUAAAAGGCAAACCAUACAAAUGAAGAAGAUGUAAACAUAUAAGAGUGCUUACUGAUCACUGUUGAAUGAUAUUUAAUUGUCUCUCUUUCAAUCUGCAAGAGUUUAUACUCUGUGAAUCAUAGUAUGCCACCAAGAAAAAUGCCUCCCUUCCUCGUUGUUGGAAAAAAAUGUAGUGAAAAACACGUAACUCGCUAGUAGAAAUAUAUUGGUUUAAAAAUAAAGCAUUUCGAGUUACAUAAGGUUUGUAUAAGUUGUAACUGACUUGAAAAAAUCUGUAUGUUUGAUAAAGGUCAUUUUAAUGAAUCCUAACAAUGGUUAGAAAGACAUCCGAAAGGGGGAAAGCUGGAUCAGCAUUGCGCAUCCACCUAAAAGGAGUAAUAUGAAAUGCAUCAAUAUAAAAGGAGAUGAAAAAAAAAUAGUAGUGCUCGUAAAAUUCCUUUCUGCUAAAAUAACACACAAAGACAAGCAAGUGUAAAACAAAUACAAGUUGUUUAUAUAGGUCAAAGUUCCAUCAGAGUGCAAUUUUAAGCCAUCAUAACAACUGAGCACAAGACUCAAUAGCAUGGAUGACAAACCAGUCCUCAGAAAGAACCCAAAGAAAUGUGUGAUUCUCAACCCUCCAAGAGAUGUGUGACUAUUCAGUCUUACUGGCAGCUUCUCCAAGAUAGCACAAAAAAUAGGUUCAUGCCUAUUGAAGACAGGCAAUAGACAGGCAAACUAAGCAGUGUCCAAGGAUAAUGUUAGUGCCAAAAUCCUCUUUGUAGCAAGUGCUUAGGGAACACCUCAAGUCGUAAACAUACAAAAUUUAGAAAAAAAGUAGGAAUCUAAAAAAACCAAUAAAAAUGUAAAAUAAAAAUUGUAACAUACCAUCAUCUUGCUAUGCUGUUGUUUAUCCUCUUUCUACACUCUCAACAUCAACAAUAGAAACAAAAACAACAAGUGCCAACAGGAAUUUGCCACAUUCACUAUAGACUUGGAGCCUCCAAAUAUAAAACCCGAAUUCCCUUCAACAAGAAGAAAAAUACUUAUACUCUGGCACCUGGGACAUGCACCUUUUAAACCUGCAAACUCCAAAAGAAGAGAUAUUGUUUCAUCAAAUUAAAAAUAUGAGAAACUAGAAGCAAAACCAGUUUGUUUUUGCUCAAAUCUGUACAACUAGGCAUAUGUAAAUAUGAUAGUAGCUCACAUUUUGGAAACCAAGUGGGAUAAAUUAGAAUAGAUACAAGCUGUUGUUGUUGCUAUGUCAUAAUUCCAUUAGAUAGUUCUGGGCUAUCAGUCACAGAGAAAAGACCACUUGGGAUAAAUUGAAAACCAGUUCUUGUGAAAGACAAGUUUCAUGCAUUGAAUGGUUCUCGACCUUCAAAGGAUAUAUAAGAUCAUGCAGCCUUAUGAGCAGCUUUCCCAGGAGGGCAAGAAAAGAGGUUCUUAUUUAUUAAAGCUGUAGAUAAAAUCUUGAUUCAGAGGACCUUUGUAAAGCACUGAAGAAUCUAUCACAAGUCAUAAAAGGAAGAAAAUUUUACAAAGAGUCCUUAGAACACAAAAAUGUAUAUAAUCAACUAUAUAAAUGAAAGUCACGCACCACAAUUUUGCUAGAUUGUACUUUAUCCUCUUUUUGUUGACUAAAAAUAGUAAUAAAGUGCCAAUGAGCCUUUGAUAUAGGAGGAAAAUUCCAAUCAUUCAGCACGAUAAAAGGACCACGUGUACCUCCUGUCAUACUUUGGACCAAUCCUUCUGACACCUGCAUCAUCAAUUAAAUGAUUUUGUACAUAACACUGCAACACUUAUUAUAAUUGUUCAAGGGUAGCCAAGUUAAAUGGCAACACAUUGCAAUAAUAUAUGUAUGGAAAAUAGAAAGUGGUAUUAAGGAGAGAAAAAGGAAGAAUUGUAUGUUGGGAAUGAGCAUCAAAUAAACAAGAAGAAAAUUCAAGAAAAUUAGUCAUUAAAAUAGAAAAAUAAAUAAACAAAAUAUAUAGAUGACAGUCACUCACUAUAGCCUUGCUAGGUUAUUCUUUGUCCCCUGUUGACACUCAAAACAAUAAAAUAAAAAAAGAGCAACAGGGGACAACUGGAACUAGCUGCAUUCACUCCAUACUUUGAAGUCUUUGAUAUAAUACCUGGAGUUCCAUCCUCUUUGAGAACCUGGAUCAUAAAUGUAAAAAUUUAAUAACCAGAUGACAAGACACUGGAUAGUAGCUAUGAUGACAUCUAAUAAGUUGAACUAAAAUAAUCAUGGCUGCACAGGGGAAUUGAUAAAGCCAUCUAAUUACCACAACGAUUGAACUUCAAUAAACUGCAUUUGCUUCUAGUAUAGCCUCCGCUGUAUGUCAGCCUUAACUCUAUUCUGGAAAUCAGAAAAUUAUGCUUAAAAAAUGCAAUUGAAUAGUACAAUUGAUGGAAUAAAAACCAGAAGAAGAUGUUGCUAACCAGUGGCUAUUACUAAAUAUUCCACCUGCCAUUGAAUGGAAUAAAUGGAUCCUCUCUUAUCAUUUUUAUUGUUGUAAGUAUCACAUAUCACCUCUUCAACUUCAAUGGUCACUGAGAACUAAAAAGAACAAAGGAAGAAAGAAAAGUGAGUACCCCAUGGAGAUUAUGGACAAGAUAUUAUAAAUAGAAUAGGAGAGGCAGAGGCACUGAUGCAUACCUAGAGUUGUGGAAGAUUGAUGAGAAAACCAAGCUACAAGCCAUUUCAAAAGCUACUUCCUAGGCAAAUUUUCAACAAAAAGUCCAGUAAGAAACUUACAAGUAAUCAAUAGGGGAAACUGCUAUAAGGUAUAUGAGAAAUUGAACACGGUAUUGAGGAGUGGAAGAGAAAGAACAGGCGUACCUUGUUUAAUGUAAAGAUGGGAGAGGGUUGAAUGGUGUUUGCUUCUAUAUUCUACAAUCCCUCAACUUAUUAUUGCUCAAAGACGUCUUUAUAAUCUAUUUCCACAAAGGGAAUGUAGGCGAUGUUAGGCCAAUCUUGCCCUUUCCCCUUCGAGAACCUUUGUUUUAGGAGUGGGCAGCCUGCGAAAUAUAGUUGUGAAAUCGUGUCGGGCAACCCUUCCCUUGGGCAAAACGAUUGAAGCUUAGGGCAACAUUGGAUCCGUAGCUCUUCAAGUGAGGUGAGGGUUUGGAGAGCCAGAGAGGACAGAGAUUUCAGAUUCUGGAAAUCUUGAAUGUAAAGAGAGGUGAGGGUUGUAGGAAGAAUCGGUGGUCUUUGACCAUCUGAAAAGGAGGCAACUCUCGGAAAUAUGCCACCAAUAGUGAGUUUUUUAAGAGAGGUAAGUGUGGCAAGGCCCCAUCGGGAUAGGGGCGUCUUGAUAUUCUCACAAUCAGAGAUAGUAAGUGAUGUAAGAGCAGUGAGGUUUUGCAGUUGAUAAGGUAGCAGCUCCACAUUCUCACAAUUACUAAUCUCCAGUUCUCUGAGUAUGUUGAGGCAAUUUGGUACAAUUUUGAGACAGCGAUACGACCAGAUACUCAAAUAUUCAAGUGAACUAUUAUUGGAGUGAAACAUCCCCUCCGAAAUCGGCUCUAGUUGUGCACAAUCCCAAAUCUGAAGUUUCUUAAGGGUGGAGGGAAACUUGCCUGUGGGAAAGAAUGUGAGAGAUGGACAUUUCCCAAUGUACAAGGCAUGAAGACCAUAGCUGGUGGUGUUGGAAUCAUGGUGCAUUAUUCCCCCCGGUAGAGACUCCAGGUUUUCACACCUCCAUAUCCUGAGUUCCUUGAGCGUGGCGGGUAACUCACCUUCUGGAAAACCAAUGAGAGAUGGACACCCAUCUAUCUCCAAGUACUCAAGGAGACACACGUCGCUACCGUUAUUACUACCAUCUUUCAUCACCAUCAUCCAAUCAGGUAGACAUGGUAGACCUUUACAACUAUAAAUAACAAGACGUCUGAGCAUGGGCGGGAACCCCAACUCUGGAAAUAACACCAGCUUUGGACAAUUACUGAUUUUCAACUCUCCAAGACAUGUUAGCCUGUGCAGUCCAUUUGGAAGCUUCUCUAGGUUAUUACACCGCCUAAUUUUCAAAGAUUGAAGCUUGCUAGGCAGCUCGUGCUUUUCCUUCUUUCCCAAGGAUACAAGCUCGAGACAAUUGCUAGUUUGCAACUGCUGAAGACCAGCAAAUCCAUUUUCCCACAAACACAUCAAUUCAUCACAUUCAUCAAUGUCUAAAACUUGAAGCCCCGACAACAAUUGCAUACACCAUUCAUGUAAUCUGGUAAGCCCUACCAUUCUUAGAAUUCCUAACUCGGUGAGUGAAGGCAAUUCCAAUCCACUCCUUAGUACCGCCUCAUUGCAAUCUUCUACUCUUAAUUUAGAAAGAGAUGGAAGCCUUUCAACUGGAGACACCAACAGUGGGCAUCUCCAAAUGGAGAGGUGUACAAGGGAAGGUAGGUAAGUGGGUAAUUUCUUGAUUAAUUUGGGACAAUUUACGAUUUCAAGAUAAAGGAGACAAGGAUAUGGCUCUGAUAAAGAUGGACUCUCCCAAUCUUCCCAUUGUGACAUAUCCGAAAAAGAUAGAGACUCUAAGGACGGGAAAGGCUUAUUGGGAAGACAAGUCUCUCCAUAAAACUCUCUACCCACAAUUUUUACUUCUUUUAACCCUUCAAUCCUUACGUGUUUGAGCAUGGGUAACCACCCCAAACACGGUAAAGAUGUGCAAUUUCUGCAAUUCACCAGAUUUACAUCCACCAUCUUAGAGAAUGAAACAUCUCCUAUCCAACGGGGAAAUUCUGGACCACCAUAAUACUCAAUUUUUAGUUUGUUCAAAUUGAAGUGUGGCUGUAAAGAGUCAAGUACAUCUAUUUGAUUCCUUGCAUUGUGUGAAUCAUCCAACCCAGCACUCCACUCUAUCGUCAAUUCUUCAAGCUUCUGCUUCUUGUUUAGACUAGCAUCCCUUGCAUCUUGAACAUUUGCUACAUUUUCCAAGUUUGAAAUGCAAAGUCCCCCUUGAAGAUGGGGCAUAUUCCUUAACUCCUUUACAUUCAAACCAUUGUCUUUACCCACAAUAAAUUUAGACAAUACUUGCAAGCUUUUUAAUUUGCAAAUUCGUAGAGACAUUUCUUCUAGAUUUGUAUUGGUCACAUCAAGGUGUCGAAGAUUAUUUAGGUUCUCAAUGCUCAAAGGCAACCUAAUAAGCCUCCAACAAUUUGAUAAUACUAGUGUCUCUAAGUUAUGGAGGUUACCUAGUGAAUCAGGUAAUCGUUUGACUCCUGUUUCGGAUAAAUUAAGAUACCUAAGAUGUUUCAAAUCACCAACUGAACUUGGUAUCUCACUUAUCCAAUAACCACUCAAUGAAAGCACCCUUAGGCGCUGUAGCUUGGGCAUCAAUCCCUCAAGUACCUUGUUGCUUAACCAAUUACAACGCCAUGAUGCAUCAAUUGGUAAUGCGAUAAAUGUACGCAAAUACUCCAUCCCAUAAAAGGCUUCAAACUUUUUGAAGACAUCGUAUCUGCCACGAAUGAAUGAUGAAUGACGAGCCUUUUUAGAAAUAGUUUGCUGCUGAUUACCUUCCAAAUUCUCUUCCAAAGAAAAACAUAUUUCUCCACCAACAAAUUUUGCUAAAUCGUUAACGAGAUCAUGCAUUACAAAUUGGGAUUUAUUGCUACUUGAUGGUUGAAAAAAUGAUCGAGACAGCAAUUCCUGGAAGUAGUCAUCGCCUAAAUCUUCAAUUUCGAUUUGUCGUCCAUAACGUUCUGGGCAUUGAAUUAGACUCUCUGCCAUCCAUAAGCGAAUCAGUUCUCUCUUAUCAAAUUCAUAGUCUUUCGGAAAUAUUGCACAAUAACUGAAACAUCUCUUCAGAGGAGAAGGGAGGUGAUUAUAACUUAAUCUCAAUGCAGGAAGAAUACCGCAUUUAUCACUCGGUAAAUCCCAUAUUUUGCUAGUCAAAAUAACAUUCCACUUAUCUUCUCUCUGUUCAUGGCGUAGAAGACCACCGAGUGCUGUUGCUGCCAAAGGCAAGCCUCCGCACUUUUUCACAAUUUCCUUGCCGAUCAAUGCCAAAUUGGAAUGCUCAUCAAUGCUGCUAUUUCCAAAUGCAUGCUUCUUGAACACCGACCAACACUCAUCAUCUGAUAAAUUUUGUAGCUCGUGCAAGUUCUUAUCUCCUUCCAUUAUUUUUGCGACGUUCUUAUUCCGUGUCGUGACUAUGAUUUUGCUGCCUCGUGAACCCGACAAAAAGGGAGACUGUAAGCAACGCCAAUCAUCAUAGUUGUCAUUCCACAUAUCAUCGAGAACCAGAAGAAAUUUUUUCCCGUUCAAUUCCUCCCCCAAUUUAUCUUGAAUUUGAUGGAAGUCUAGUGAAUCAGUAUUGCUCUGAGAAGUACUGACCGAGUUGAGGACUGUCUUGGUUGUUCUCACUGCAUCAAACUGAUCUGAUACACAAACCCAGGCCGUUAGAUCAAAAUGCUUGGCUGUCUCAGCAUCAUCGUACACCAACCUUGCUAGUGUGGUCUUGCCCAUACCACCCAUGGCCACGAUGGAAACUACAGAAAAAUUGGUUUCAAUGGGCUCAUCCCUAAGCAGCAUAUCAAUUAUAAUCUGUUUAUCAGCAUCCCUGCCAUAAACCCAAGGUUCGUAUACACGAGAUGUAGUGAGUGGCCUUUCCCAAGUAGACUGGGUUAUAGCAGCCACCUUGUCCAAACCAAGCCCAGCCUUUUGGGCAUAAAUAGCUUCUAAUCGGGUAGUAAUGUCCUUUAUCUUGCACCCCAUCUUAACAUUACGCAUACAACCAAUAGGAGUGAAAGUAGUACAACAAGUAGGGAUAAACUUGCGUACCUUGCUUGUGCUGCCUUCACCAUCAGCUUCCGCCAUCACCUUUCUUCUUAAAGCUUCGUAGGCAAACUCGUCCAAGAUGUCCUCCAUGUCAUAAGCCAAAUCCCUCAGAUCGCCCAGCCACGUUUUCACCAACUUCUUCGUGAUCUGCUUCUCCUCCGCGUCAUUCAGCACUUCAUGAAUCUCCAAUAAUUUUUCCUCCCAUAUUUUGAGCUCGGCGUUGAUUUUCUCUUGGCGUGCAAACUUGAGGAGAUCAAGGGAGCCCAGUUGGCUAAACAAAGCUUCAAGGGAGACAGAAAGAACAGCCUCUGCAACAACUUCCAUAGUUCGUUGGUAGGGAAAGAGAGAGGUAGGAUACCAAGUGGAAACAAGAGAAUCAGAAACAAUUGGUUUGCUCUAUCAAGGCUUCCCCAAUUAUCAAAGACAGUGGACUCUGCUCUUCAGAGUGGUGGGGCUCACACGUAAAGAAGAAGAAACUAAGGGAAAAGAAGAAAAUAAGUUUGAUUAGAGAGUAAUGUUUAGAUCAAAUUUUGUGAAACAAUUGGUUUGCUUGCUGUAUCAAGGCUUAGCCAAUUAUCAAAGACUGAAGGUAAGAGAUAAGGAGUUGAAGGCAACAGCUGGCAAGCUGGCAAGUGGGUCCAUUGGACAUGAUUAUUCAAGUCUUGGACCACCCUGCAAUUUUCCACACCGCACUGGAUGGUGGGUCAGAGAGUUAAGGAAAACGUCAGAAAACCAAACAUGAAGUGAUCGAAAGCGGGGCUCCUGUAUGAAAAUAUUACUAUGCAACAAUGAAAUUAUCAAAGAAUCAUGCAUUGAAAAAUUCAAAGAUUGAAAUUAUCAAAGAUCAUAUUAAAGAUUUGAUGUGAUGUUUUUCAUAUGUAUUCAUAUAUUUUGGGGAGAAUUGUGUUUUGGGCCCAGCUGGGCCCAAAAAUUAAGAAAUGGUCCAUCUAACUGACCUAAUUAAUGAUAAGGAUAUGAAAUGUUAACAGACGAAAAUGCCCUUUACAUUUCCAACUCAAAUUGUUGUAAAAUAAUGGGUUUCACAGCUGGUAAACGUGAAAUGCCAUGUCACCAGAGUGAAAAUUCUGAAUCUUCCUACCAUUUUCUCUCCCUCUGUAAACAACAUACGCACAAACGAUGCCGACCUUAACUGUCCCCCAAUCGCUUUCUUCAGCAGCCAAGGAUUGUGAGGAUUUCAGAAAAGCUUUUGUAGGUAUUUUAUCAACGAUCAUUCCUAAAUCCAAAUGAUGGGGGUCUGAAUUAUUUGCUGAUAUUUUGAUUUUAUCAGGUUGAGGCGUUUGUAGGUAUUUUAUCAACGAUCAUUCCCAAAUCCAAAUGAUGGGGGUCUGAAUUAUUUGCUGAUAUUUUGAUUUUAUCAGGUUGAGGCGUUUGUAGGUAUUUUAUCAUCAUCGUCCAGAGAGAAUAAAUGGGAGCGUUUGAGAUGGAGAAGGUGAAAGGUGGGAGUCCCUACGGUGCAGGAACUUACGCUGGGGACGGCUCAAGACAACCAUCUGAGCUCGAAUUGGAGCAAGGUUUCCACCAGGGGAAGUACAUUGCUGGCAUCACAAAGAAGCUCAAGGAAGCAGCUUAAUAUCCAUUCCCUAUUCUGAGAUUGUUUUGCAUUCUUCCAUUUUUUCACUUCUAGAAUUUAAGUUCCGUAUUUCUAUUGGAUUGCCAAAAAGCAAAAAAAAAAAAAAAAGAAUAAUUGUUGCUGUGUUUGGCAUAUGCUCUAUGUGUUGAAUGUAUUCAGAACAUUGGUUUGCUGAUCCAACUUGAAAAAUUGUCCUCUUUCUCCCCCUUUCACACUAAACCCAGAAUUUUAUAUUGGUAAAAAUUAAUCCUUGUCAUUUUCUAUUGGUUUCUGGGUAUAGAUUAGGUAGGUGAGAGGUCCUUUCUUUCAGCAGUGAAGGUUGGAAAUUUACUGGGAUUGAGAAUGUUAGCGGGGGGGGGGGGUUUAAUCAUACACACCACCUGGAUUCUACCAAUAAAGUCCUUCGGAAUGUAAUCUAAAUUUUGGCCUAAUCUUUGAUGUUACAGAAGGAAAGAAGGGGUGGAGAUGAUACACUCCACAGAUUGGACAGCUAACAAGUACCUACUACUAUUGACUAUGUAUUAAUUUCCUAUUAACAAGUAAAACAAAUGGCAUUGAUUUUGUUUUACUAGUUUCUGCUUGAAUUCCUAAAUUUUCUUUUUGAAUAUUUUUCUUGUCUUAGGCCACUCGACCCAACUUUUCCUUUCUCGUUUUUUUGAUUAGUAUCUGAAACAAUUCUUAUUUCGUUGAGCAAUGUAUAUUCUUGCAAAAAAAUGAAUUAAAAAAUUAAUUUGUGCCCAAUUAGUUUGGUGUAAAUGUCAUCCACAUUUAUCUCAUGUAAUUUUAAUUGGAAAUAUUUAGUGUUUAUGGGAAUAAACAGGAAGCUUGAAAUUGCUAAUCAUUGGCAUUAAAUUGAAGCAGGUUUAGAAAUGAAAAUUCUGGAUUAGGAGAGAAUGGAUGAGAAGGAGAAUUGCGGACAUGAGAAAAUAAUGUCUCCCUGUUUGGCUCUGAAGAAUUGGUUGGACGAGAAAAUGGUGAGUACUCUAAAAGUGAGCCACAGUUAGAAGCAUUUUGGUCUUCUUCAGAGUUUCCUCGUAAAUUGUAGACAAUUGUUAGGCCUGGUGCCACAUGUGAUGUUUAAAAAGCUGUUCACUAGUUGAAUGGAACCCAUCUUUAGGCAUGCUUUUUACUGAAUAAAAUAUAUGUUUGAAUAAUAAUUUGCCAUGCUUAACAUAUAAUCUUCUUUUGAAUUCUAGCUAGAAAGUUGGAAUUAACUUCGAAUAACUUCACAUUAAUGGACAAAUUGCUAUUAUUUAAUUUCCUUGUAUUGUUACAAAAGUAUAGGGAACAAAUUGAGACUUCAGUUUUUCCUUAUUUUAUUAACCAAAAGAUUGCAAUCAUGAUUAACCUAUGCAUGAGUAUACAUUCAGUAGUGGUUGUAUGGAAUUUAUGUCUGUGUACAAGACAUUUACACUAAGUGUACAAGGUACCUGUGCUUAAUGUACAAGGGUGUACAAAUGUACCUAUGUUGAAGUAUUUGCAAUGUUUUAAAAUCAUUUCCAUUUUGAAAGGAUGAGGAACAUUCCCUCACACACAUUCCUUGAUCACGCACUGAUCCCCUUCAAUUUUAUUACUUCAUACAUGUUGAUUGGAUGACCAACGACAAUAAUGAUGAAUAAGAACCUAUAUUGGGUUUCACUUCCCCCUUUUCCCUUCCCCAUUUUCCCUUAGGCAUCACAUUGGAACAUGGUAGCUCACCCAUAUGCACGCUAUUAGUUUUAGGUAUGUCAAAUUUUUGGCAUUGUAUAAGACAUUUACACUAAGUGUACAAUGCAAAUGUGGUAACUGUACAAGUGUGUACAAUGCUACAUAUGUUGAAGGAUUUCAAAUGGUUUUGAAUAAAUUGCUUGCUCAUUUUAUUUUUCUAAGGGUGACAUUCCUCAUAGACAUUCCUCAUAGACAUUCCUCAUUUACAUUUCUACACAUUCAUUGGAUGAGAUAGCGCGCUUAUAAUGAAUAAGAACCUCGAUUUGGUGUCAUUUUUCCCCUUUUCAGUGAGCCAUGACAUUGGAACGUGGUUAACCUGGCCAUAUGCACUAGUUCUGUUGUAUCUAUGUGGAAUUUCUGCAAGUGUACAAGGCAUUUAAACUAAGUGUACAAGGCCAAUGUACUAAAAGUACAAGGGUGUACAAGGGUGUGUAUCUUACUUUUUCCAAACGUGGGGAACAAUCCUGACACAUGUUGCUUGAUAACACACGCAUUGCAUGCAAUUUAAUUGAUGUCUACCAUGUUCAUUCAUCCUAUUAGCUUCCCUAGUAAUGAUGAAUAUGAACCGAAAUUAGGGUAACCUUUUGUGUCAUUUUCCCUAGUCCAUGGUAAUGGAAACAUUGGUUACCCACCCAUAUUCACUUGAAAAUAUGUACCUAUUAGGGAUUUGGUGACUGGACAAGGCAUUUACACUAAGUGUACAAAGCAAAUGUGCUAACUGUACAAGUGUGUACAAGGGUGCCUAUCUUCAAGGAUUUUAAAUGCUUUUGAAAAAAUUGCUUGCUCAUUUAUUUUUUCCAAGGGGGACAUUCCUCAUUUCCCUUCGUACACAUUCAUUGGAUGAGAUAGCGCGCUUAUGAUGAAUAGGAACCUCGAUUUGGUGUCAUUUUUCCCCUUUUCAGUGAGCCAUGACAUUGAAACGUGGUUAACCUGGCCAUAUGCACUAGUUCUGUUGUAUCUAUGUGGAAUUUCUGCAAGUGUACAAGGCAUUUAAACUAAGUGUACAAGGCCAAUGUACUAAAAGUACAAGGGUGUACAAGGGUGUGUAUCUUACUUUUUCCAAACGUGGGGAACAAUCCUGACACAUGUUGCUUGAUAACACACGCAUUGCAUGCAAUUUAAUUGAUGUCUACCAUGUUCAUUCAUCCUAUUAGUUUCCCUAGUAAUGAUGAAUAUGAACCGAAAUUAGGGUAACCUUUUGUGUCAUUUUCCCUAGUCCAUGGUAAUGGAAAUAUUGGUUACCCACCCAUAUUCACUUGAAAAUAUGUACCUAUUAGGGAUUUGGUGACUGGACAAGGCAUUUACACUAAGUGUACAAGGCCAAUGUACUAAAAGUACAAGGGUGUCUAUCUUACUUUUUCCAAACGUGGGGAACAAUCCUCACACAUGUUGCUUGAUAACACACGCAUUGCAUGCAAUUUAAUUGAUGUCUACCAUGUUCAUUCAUCCUAUUAGCUUCCCUAGUAAUGAUGAAUAUGUACCGAAAUUAGGGUAACCUUUUGUGUCAUUUUCCCUAGUCCAUGGUAAUGGAAACAUUGGUUACCCACCCAUAUUCACUUGGAAAUAUGUACCUAUUAGGGAUUUGGUGACUGGACAAGGCAUUUACAAUAAGUGUACAAGGCCAAUGUACUAAAAGUACAAGGGUGUACAAGGGUGUCUAUCUUACUUUUUCCAAACGUGGGGAACAAUCCUCACACAUGUUGCUUGAUAACACACGCAUUGCAUGCAAUUUAAUUGAUGUCUACCAUGUUCAUUCAUCCUAUUAGCUUCCCUAGUAAUGAUGAAUAUGUACCGAAAUUAGGGUAACCUUUUGUGUCAUUUUCCCUAGUCCAUGGUAAUGGAAACAUUGGUUACCCACCUCCCUCAUCCUAGAGGACAUGGUUUUUGCCUAUCCCCACAGCUGUAUAGCGAAGACCAUUAGAUCCCUAAAGCAUAAUUGUAUAUGGUGUUAGUGAACCACAUUUUCUAUAUUACCAAAUUGAACACAAAUAUUACCCGACAACUUACAAAGCUGAUAUAAUAGUAUUUAAUAAAUAAACGUUGAAUUGUUAAAACUUCAAUAUUAGAGAACUUUCCAACAUAACUGAUACAUGGUAACUAUAAUAAGGGACAUGAAGAAAUCACUUAAAUUUCAUGCAUAAUAUAUAUAUAUACUAACUUAAAAGGUAUCUGAAAAUGAAAAUUUCAUAAAAGGAUUUCAGAUUAUAUAUAAACAAGGGAGUAAUUUGUUCACACCAAUUCAAAUAUGUAAAAUAUCAUAAAAUGAAAUUUCACCCAUUUUGAGACCAACAUGCAUUCUGAUUUAUGUUCUGACAAUACAUUAAAAUUGCAUGACUAUAGAUUAUAAGUUCUUGUGGCACUGUACUACAGAAGCGAAAGCCUCUCAAAUAGUAUGUUGGCAACGGAAGAAUGCAAAAAACAACAAAGAUAAGCAAGUAUGAUGAACCAUACCGAGAGUGGGAGUGAACUGGCAGCAGAACCAUCUAAGCCAUUACCAGCCAUUGUUAAUAUUAUAACUGCAUCAUUGGGCAUAGAAAAGUAGAAUGUAAUGCACAGAUAAACUAACCAACUGAAUAACUAGACAGCAAGUAUAGUACAAUACUAUGAAAGUUCAGCUAAGUGAUAAGAAAAAUGCACGCAUCCAAUGAUGUGAGUAGGACAUACUUAAAAUAGGGAAGUGAAAGUAUACAUCAAGUUAAAGGAUACCACAUUGAAAGUGCAAUUUCAAAUUAAAUCAGUAAUGAAAGCAACUCCAAAUCAUGAAAAUUAAAAAGUAGUCUUAUAAAAAAUAAAAUCAAAAGGUAGUGCAUCGUGUCUAUAAUAAGGACAAUACAUAACAUCCAAAAGCGACAACCCUAUGACCAUAAAGCAAAUAAUGGAACAAUGAGGGAUCGUACACAAAAUGAAAACCUUACAAGCAAAGAAAUGAACAUGUCACGUCAAUGGAUUAUUACAUUUAGACCGAUUGUGACCUAUGCCAUUGCAUCGAGAGCAAUGAAUAGCUCUCUUAUGGCUAAAUUGUGACUCAAUACGCCUUUGUCGGGGUCUUCCUGGAGGACGUCUCACUUGCGGGGGUUGGAGACUAGGAAAUACGUUGCCUUGCCCAUCUUGCAAAGUCCCAGCCUCACAAACUUUAGGCAUGUUGUGUGUUGGUAAUGGUUGAAACUGACCUGAGUAAAUCAACUGUUGGGUGGAGACUUUAAAACAUGGGUCGAUAUAGUCAUACACAUCGUGUCUCAAUGUACGGAUCACAACACAUACAUGUGGACAUGGCAACUCGGACAUUUGCCAUGUUAGACAUGUACACUUAUGUUGCUGCAUAUCCACAACCAAAUAAACUUCUCCAGUAAAAACCUUGAACGUCCCACCCAAAUAAGGCAUCACAGUAAUUGGAGCAGAUCUCGUGAUAUUUGACAUUAGGUUUUCCUCUGUUUUGGGUCCAACCACGCUCUUCCACUUAUCUGUACCACGCAUAUGGGUGUCCAACAUGGCUACAAGCUUAUCCAUGUGCAUCAUCAGCAACGUAUAAAUUGUUUGGUGGCGUUCCUCUCUUAACCACGCAUUGAAGGACUCUGCAAUAUUAGUUGUCAUUUUAUCCCAACGUUUUUUAAGGAACUUUGACAUCGCCCAAUGCUCCGGACUAUUCUCCGCAACCCACCUUGCUAGGUCGCCAUUAAAAUGCACAAGUUUUUCAAACGCCUCAUUGUAGUCUAUAUCCAACCGAGCAUAUGCAAUGUUGUCUAAAAGCAACAAAACAUCUUCUUUCCCUUUCUUUCCCCUAAUGUUUUGCCUGUUGAAGAAGCUUGAAAAGUUCUCUUUCACAUGUCGAUAACAAUAGGCGUGAUUUUCUACCCCAAACAACUCCGAAACACUACGCAAUAUCCCUUGAUGUCUAUAUGAUAUAAUAAUUACUUCUUGACCAUCUAGGAUCCCCUUCAAUUUCUCCAAGAACCAAUACCAAUCCUCAUAAUUUUCUGAACCAACCACACCCAAGGCUAGAGGGAACAUUCCAUCAUCUGCAUCAUAUGCAAUGGCAGACAAAAGAGCUCCUUUGUAUGGACCACUUAGGUGGCAAGAAUCAAUAGCCAAUACCGGUCGACACCCCAUGGUGAACCCUUGAAUUGAAAAUGCGUGGGCAAUGAACAAUUGCUUGAAGUGACCUUCAUGAGAAGUGUACUCGGCAAUAGUUCCAAGGUUAAUUUCCCUUAGCCUAUGGCAUAACCAAGGCAAAUACGCGUAGGACGCAUGUGGAGAUCCAUAUACACGCUCUUUUGCCUUCUCUUUAAGAUGCCAUGCUUGGUUAUAAGUCAAUUGAACUCCAUGAUCACGUUCAAAAUCCUUGCAAAUUUGUCGAGGAAGGUAUUAUGGAGUUGUUUUAAACACGUCUUCAACAACAACAGCACCUCUCUUGGAAGAAACCCGCAUCUUAGAUGAACACUCAUCUUGAGCUAUAUGAUUAUGAUUAACUUGGUAAGUAUAAACUCGCAAUAUUUCAUUUUCUUCAACAGCAUGAGCUGUUAUCUUCCAAGGACAAUCCUCAACCGAACACUUUACUGACAUAUGUGUAGGUGAAUUUUUCUUGUACUUGUAUUGAAACCUUCCAGCUAAUGACAUUUGGUAUAUUGCAUUCCGAAACUCAUCUGCAUUCUUAAAUGUAUGUCCGGAACCUAAUAUUGCCUCACGAAACCGAUUCGAUUCUAAAAGGGUGUACUCAGUAUCUGCACAACGCGAUGCAAAACCUCUUGAUAACAUCAUAGAAUUAGGAUUUGCAUCGCAUGAUGCAUUAGACGAAGGAAACGUAGGAUGUGGACCUCUGCAUUUACAUUCAUAACCAAAAUUAGACUACAUAAUGCGUAAAAUUGAUAUUCAUCAAAUUUUAAAUAGACAUCCAAGUGAAAACGCAUUACCCAAGUGCCAACUGUGUAUUCGGUAUAUUUGCCUCUAUGGCUUCCACACCGGGUGACUCGACUAUGUACACAUUUGCAAAGUCAUCACUGUGGGAAACCACGUUAUCCAAGUCAUCCUCAUCUUCUAAAUCUUGGAUGACUCUAGGGUUAAACUUGAGGGUGUAGUGCAUCCUCAUCACAUGAAGGGAAAUGUCGAAUUUUUCUAAGACCUUCUGAGUGAAUUCUUCAAAUGUCAUUCCUUUAUAAAUGUGAAUACCUUUGCUUCUUCCACCAACAUAUUCCCAAAGGCCAUCAUUUUUUUGGACAAGUUUGCCUCCCACGAAAAUAUAACAGUAUAUUCUAUUUGUGGCAUCCAUCAACCUAUUGAAAUAAAGCACAAAUUUAUAUUGUUGAAUAAACAAUAAUGCAUAUUCAAUGUGAUCUUAAAAGUUUUUUCAUCUCACAAUAUACUAUGUUCCCAUACAAAAAAGUUAUAUUUUAAAAAAUGUAUAUACAAAAAAAUGUAACUUUAAAGUCUUAAAAAAUAAUUUUUGUUGCUCCUUUUGAUUAUUCUAACCAUUGUCAACGGUAAGAUUAUUUUAAGAUAGGCACUAAUAAACAAACGGUGAGUUGAACUAAGAUAUGAAGACCGAGCUUCUCUCUUCUCUUGGACUGAUAAAUACUACAUAACCUAAACAAAACUAAAAAUAAUAAUAAAAAUAAAAAACAAAAAUGAGAAAUGUAAAACUGAAAUGGAAAUUAAAAGAUUCAAAUUAAUAGAUUAAAAAAAAUCAUUAAAUUAAAAACUAAGAAAGGCUUUAAAAGGAAAAAAAAAAACGAAUCUCUAACUUAUUUUCCCUAUCAUUCUCCUUUACUUAUAUAUUCAUAGUUCACAUUUUUAUAAGCAAAAACCUCUCUCUCCAACUACUUUAGUGCUACCCAAUUUGACACUACUACUUACCUAUGCUAAUAAUCUAAUCGUGUCAAUACUUGGAACUUUAAGACAGAACAUCACAACAAUAUCUAGUAAAGUAGGAGGAUUUUGUGUCUGAUUCGACAUAAUACUGCAGAACAUAUAUAUAUAUAUAUAUACACCAAAAACAUUAGAAUUAUGGAACUAUAAGACAUUCAAUAGGAAAUAAUCCCCCACGUUUUAUUAAGCUCUGACCUAUACUUACACUAGGUAGAAAACAAAUUCUCAUUCUCACUCAAACCCUUAGACAAUUUCUGUUGGUACUACUAUAUCAGACUUGCCUACAAACUUAUUCAAAGAGAAUGGAGAUAUUUAAAUAUUAAUUAUAAAGCGUUGCUUUUCAAAAUAAUAUGAAGAGAUAAUAGCCUAAAAAAUGUAACAAAUACAGAAUUCUCUUCUAAACUAUCAUGUCCUACUUUAGAUGAUUCAUACAAAACCAUAAGCAAUAGUUUAACACAUUUAAGGUUUAAGGGUAAAAAAAACUAAUAGAUAAAAAGAGAUAAAUCUGUUACUUGUGCCUACAUCUCAAGCCAAUGCACCAUAAGAAAACUUUAGGGUUUUUAGGUUAUCCAUUUUCCCUUUCCAUUUUUCCUCUCCUAGUUUUCUAGCAACCAAUUAAACAAUUAUAAAUUAUUUUCAAGUAUAUAUGACAAUUUUCACAAAUAUUUUUUUGAAUUUAAAAUAUACAAAUACCAUGAAAUAAAAAUCUAAAAAAAAUUACAAAAAUAUAAUCAGAUCGAUUAAGCCAUGAAUCAUGAGUUGCAGGUAAAGUGCAUUUUCUGUAUUCUCAAGGAUUAAAGAAAAAAUUAUGGUUCAAAAUUUUUCCUUUCUUUUUCUCAUUACUUUCUCAGCAUCCGAAUAAUAGUACCAAACCAAGAAGUCAAUUAUUGAAUGGGAACACUAACUUGAACUCCGGAGAUCAAGUUGAACACAAUUUAGAGAUUUGGACUAAGAAAAUUUAGGUCGAGAUUUAGGCAAUCUACUAACCUUAAAUAUGCAACAAGAGAGACCCAACUGAAAUCCAUACCUUAUUCAAAUUCUCGAGAGAGACGGAUGCGAGAAAAAAUGAAAGAGCCACAGAGAUUGAGAUGCAAGCGAUGGAGGUGCUCGGGAGGAAGAGAAGAAAACGACUUCUAGGCUUGAAAUGCUGAAGAGACCAAAAUUUAGGCAAUCUACUAACCUCAAAUAUGCAACAAGAGAUACCCAACUGAAAUCCAUACCUUAUUCAAAUUUUCGAGACAGCCGAAUGCGAGAAAAAAUGAAAGAGCCGCAGAGAUUGAGAUGCAAGCGAUGGAAGUGCUCGGGAGGAAGAGAAGAAAACGGCUUCUAGGCUUGAAAUGCUGAAGAGAGACCAAAAUUAGGGCAAAAUUCCAAAAAGCCACAGAGAUUGAGAUGCAAGCGAUGGAGAAACUCGGGAGGAACAGAAAAAACGGCUUCUAAGCAGAGAAGAAAAUGACUUAUAGGUAGAGAAGAAAACGGCUUCUAGGCAAAAAAGAAAUCGGCUUCUAGACAGAGAAGAAAACGGCUUCUAGGCAGAGAAGAAAAUGACUUCUAGGCAGAGAAGAAAAUGGCUUAUAGGCUUGAAACGCUGAAGAGAGCAAAAUUAGGGCAAAAUUCCCAAGAGCCGCAGAUGAAGAGAAGAAAACGGAGGCUUGAAAUCUGAAGAGACAUAGGGCAAAAUUCCAACCUGGCUUUUUUUGUUUAUUAUAUUUUUUUUUUCAUAAUCAGCAAAGGUUAUUUAUGGAAUUAAUAAAAGUGCAUAUCCUUCUUUUUAAUUUUGACACUUCCUAUGGGUUUUCAGCUUAAAUGGGUCGGUUAGAUGGGCCAUUUCUUAAUUUUUGGGCCCAGCUGGGCCCAAAACACAAUUCUCCCUAUAUUUUGUUAUGAAUAUGAGUGGAUGUUCUAGGUUUGACGGUGGAAAUUAAGGUAGAAUAUAGAUAAGAUUUUAGAGUGUGGACGUUUUGUCAAAAAAACAUUAUUGAAAUAUGAGAUUUUGAAAAUGACCAAAAGAUAUCUAUGAGUAUCAUUUAUUCACACCGAAAAAAUCAAUAUAUUGGCAAAAAAAUCAAUGAAGUUUUUCUUGCCUUAGUCCCAACAUCCACUUGUGAUCCAACAACCAAAUUUAAAUCUUGAUUGGAAACCCUCUUUGAAAAUUACAUGCAUGAUCCAAAACCUUUUCCUUCAAUAGCAUAUAGGAAUAAGUUAUAAAUACAUGGGAGGAACUUACAAAGAUUUAACAAAUAAUUAGUUUUAAGGACUCCACUUCCAAGCAGGCCAUGUGCUUUUAAGGAUUAAAAAAAAAUUGUUUGACACAUUAAUAAGAACAAAUAAUUUAAUGUUUAAGAAUAUUUAAAUAUUAAUAAAAAUAAACAAUUUAAUCUUAAUGAGAUUAUGUUCUAUUUAAAUUUAAGACAAAAAAACAAAAUAGAUAUAACUUUUUCACUUCUUAUAUUUUAAAAUAUUUUUUAAUUAAGCGUCCUUAAUAAUAUUUUUAUUUCAUGGAUGAUUGAUUAACUUUUUUUUUAAGAAAAAGAGAUAUUGUUAAAAUCGUUUUUGAAAAAAGACAAUGAAAUAAAAACUGGAAUUCGAAUUAUUAAAAAUAUUAUAACCUUUAAAGAUAAAACGAAAAUACUAAGCAUCGAGUGAUAAAAUUUAGGUUAUUAAAUUAAAAUAUAAAUAAAUUAAAUAAAGAUAUAAAAAUACAAAUAAAUGAGAAUACCAUUGGAGACAUGCCAAAUAAAAAAUUUUGAUCCCACAGUUUCUUUAAUAUUAAAAGAACGUCAAUUUUUUAAUAAUCUCUUUCCAUCUUUUGGUAAAUGCCAUAGAAUAAAAUAUAACCAUAAUUCUAUACAUUUCUUUCACGGCAGCGCUGACACAUUGGGUGUCCGCAAGUGGACGUUGCAUGCAAUUAUUGGUAGGAGAUGGCCCGGAUAGGUGGCAAUUAUUGGGGCUCUUUUACUUAAUAGAAUAGAUUUAUAAAAUAAUUUUAAAAAUGACUUCGAAGCCUAUGAUAGUUGUUAAAUGUUGUUGAUUUGAUUUUAGUUCCGGUAAGAAAUCCUUUUUUAUUCUAGUAUGAAAUUUUUUUUAGAUAGUGAUUUACUCUCCAUUAAAAAUUCGAUUUGAUGAUAUUAUUAAAUUAAGUUUAAAAAGAUUUGUUAAAUGUAAGAUUUUUUAUUAAGGUGGAGUUGGAUUUGAAGUUUUAAAAUUCAAUUAAAAUGUCUUAAUUAAUUUUUGACAACUUUAAGAUUUUAUUUUUUAAAAAUUUAUUAAUUAAUUUAUAGAAAUUAAUAUUUUAUUUUUUAAACAACAAAUAUUUUUUAAUUAAUUUUUGAAAAAUUAAUAUUUUAUUUUUUUAAGAAAAUUCCAUUUCCAACCAUCUAAGCUCUUAGGUCUAUAUAUAUAUUACCUAAAUGUGUUUUUGGGUUGGAUGCUUUAAUAGAAUCAACCUCAACUUGCUCUAUCAUUUAUAAACUCUCAGCAACGAAUUCACUUAUCAAACCCCAUACUUUUUUGUCUUCAUAAUUAGUAUGAUGAUUUUCCACAUAAAAUUGAUUGUCUUGAAUGUGAUUGUGAUUUUAUUAUUUCUAUGGUUAUGUGAAAUUCACAAUGUUGCCCUUAGCUUUUGUGAAUAAGUCUGUUAAAUUAUCGUUUAAUCUUACUUUCUGAAUAUUGAUUUUACUACUCUUCUGGAGUUUAUGAAUAUAAAAAAACUUGAACAAUCUAUACUUACUUUAGCUUGAGUUUUUUUUAUUUAUUACAAUUAUGACCUAUAUGAUUCUUAUUGAUCUCAAAAUUAAAUUUAAAAGAUUAGGCAAGAGAUUAACCUACUUGCAAUUUUCAUAAUUAUAGUUGACAAGGUUAUGAUAUUUAUCAAGAUUAACUUAAAUGUUAGGUAAGACCUAAGAGAACUUACUUGCAAUUACUAAAUUUGAGUUAACAAAAUUAAUCAAUAGAAUUAAUCUGUCAUCUUUUUGUUUUUAUAAUUGUGACUGCCUUAGUUCUUAUCAAUAUGAAGAUUAAAUUAAAAGAUUAGGUAAGAGCACCCACUUGCAAUUUAUUGAACCCGAUUAAGCAAAAGAAGUUUCACUUAUUUCUCUUUUUAUGAUUAUGGUUGGCAAGGUUCUCAUCAACAUCAAGAUUAUGUAAAGAAACCUAUUUGCAACUUGUUAAAUUUGACUCAUUCAAAAGAUUAGUCAAGCAAAUACACUUGCAAUAAUUUACAAUCAAAAUUCACUUUAAAAUGAUAAAUAUAAGCUAUCUCUUUUCUGGUUGCAUUGAACUUAUUGAUAAUUAGAUUUAAACAUAAAUAAAUAUAAUUAUUUAAGUAUUAAUUAAAAUUUAAACAUCACUAAUUAAAUAAAAUAGUAUAAAUAUAUAUAAAAGAAAAGCAAAACAUUGGUUGCCUGGCUGCUAGCAAGUGGAGCCAUUGUAGGCAAUUAUUGGUAAAAGAUCAUGGGUGGUAAUCAUUUGGGCUCUUUUUAACACUUUCCAUGGCUUUAAAUGCCUUUUUCUAAAGUAAAAGUUAGAACGAUAGAUAAGCAUUCAAAGAACUACACUGCCUUUUUUUUACAGCAAAAGUUGGAUGGAUAGGCAUUCAAAUAACUUUUUUUUUUCCUUGUAACUUCUACUUGCUUAAUUUUUUUUUUUUUUUGUUAAUUUUUCACUACAGAAAAAAAAAAAAAAAAAAAAAAGUCAUCUUGUUAAAACCCUUAUGCAAUUUUCUAACAAAGAGACAUGAGUGACAAUGGGUUAUAUUAUUUUGAGUUCAUGUCGUGUUAGAAGUAAAAAAUAUUAAAAAUUUCUUCAACCUACACAGACUCUUUUAAUUAUAAUCAUUUUCCUUCUUUUUUUAUUUGAUUUUUAUAAAUAUUAAAACUCCACAAAUUGUAUUGUCUUAAAACUUCCCUCUAUGUAAGAAAUAGACAUAGAUAGAUCUCUGGUAAUUCAACUGAAAUGUUGUAAGGACAAAAAAGCAAGUGACUUCUGUAAGCAGGAUAUGAUGCUUGUGAAUGGGACAAGGAAGAAGGUUGAAGGAAGGAGAGUAAACAAGUUUUCCCUUUAAUUUAUAUAGAUUGGUGAUUAGGCUGAAGUAGAGACACCUUGCUACCUCGCUGCAUCUUCAAAUGAUCAUGUUGAUUAACCAUGAAUUGAAAGCCAUGCUUUGCCUGCGAAGUUUGAUUAGAGAGGAAUCUUUAGAUCAAAUUUUGUGAAACAAUUGGUUUUUGAUGGAAUCCUGAAAGUGGAUUACAUAAAUUACUUGGUGCCUUCUUUUGGUACAUGAUACUCAUGAACUGAAUGUCAGCAUGGUAUUCAUGAAUCAAGUUUCAAAACAAUUGAGCUCAUAUAGAUCUUGCAUAACUGGAAAUCAAAGUGAAUCUCAUGUUGUUUUUGAUGGGUUUAGAAUAAAAUCAAUGACAUCACUAUGGCCUUUGUCAAUGACUUGGUUUUAAACUCUGGUUCAAAAUAUCCACUGCAAUGGGAUAAUGACCUUAACAUCCAGUGAUGACUUCAUUUUAGACUCUGGUUCAAAACAUCCAUUGCCAUGAGAUAAUGGCCAUAACAUCUGAUGGACCUCGUUUUCCCAAAGACACGGAAAUGGAUUAGGUAGGGGUGACUCUGAAUCACUUGCAUUGAGUCUACUUCAUGUGAAGUCCCCAAGGUCAGUUGAAGGUUGUCUGGUGAUCAGCUAGAUAAUUCCAAAUACUUGACCCGAGGCUAGAUGCUUGAGGAGGGUAAUUCAAGAGGCCCAACUGUUGUAUAUUGUCUCCCCACAUGGCAAAACCUGUUUUAUCACGAUGAUAAAAAAAAAAAAAAAAGUGUUUAAUUAAGGUAGAUAAUGCAACUUCAGCCAAUAGGGUGUGAGACAGCGAGAGGUGAAGAUAGAGUAACAUACAUUUCUUGUCCAUGGGAUGAUGGCCAUCUAGUAUAUACGAACUUCAAUUUUUAGCCACAUUGAAGAAAGUUGGCCUCUCAUUAAGACACUAUGAUCACAUUUAGAAAUCUUAAGGAAUUUUGAGAAUGUAUCAAUGCCUUGCAUAAUUCCAUUUAGAAAUCUGAGUCCCAGAAAGGUGUUGAUGCCGAAGUCCCAAAAUUUAAAAUUUUGAGACUCUAUUAUUGUCUAUUCUCCUGCCACAGUAACAAGAUUUCUUUACAAUGAACAGUCAUUAUAAUUUCACAUAUGCUAAUGCUAGCAUAAGCCACUUUGAGAAAACAAUUGAUCCUUGGAUUAUUACCAAUCUCAAAGGAAUUGAAGAAGGCUAGAUGGUCAAGGUCCAAAGUUCUUGAUGACAUUUCUAGUUCGCCAAUCGAUGACAAUAUCAUACGUGAAACAAAAGACAUGAAGUCUGAAACAUUCAAAAUCAAAAGCAUUUGUUUUAAUUCUUUAGCAAGAAAAAUAACAUAAUGGAUCUUAUUUGUAUGAUUAUCAAGUUUAACAACACGCCAUUGCCUGACUCCUUAAUUGGCUUCCAAGAUUUAAAUAAUUCAAAGACACCAUUAUGUUUAAUUCCAAUAUAAAAGACUAUCAAAGAAGGGGUAUAUAAAUUUGCUUGAAAUUUAUGCAAGAUAACCAGUCUGAUUGUGGGAGAGUUAACAAACCUCUAAUUUUUUGUCGACAAAAUCUCGUUAAUUGGAUUCCUGAAAAACGUAUUAAAAAUAAGUAAACACUCAUCAUAGUUAAAAUCCAAAUCCCGAGUCAAAAGAAGAUUGUUUAUUGUAGAACUAAACACAAUUACUAAACCUUAUAAUGCAAGAACGCAAGAUUGUCCUCGAACACAUUUCCCAUCUUAUCAUAUUCAAUUUAUGGCCUUCCUACAUAACUGCAUUUUAUAUUUGAAAGGUAAAUUAGACAUUUUUUAUGUGAGUAAUAAGAAAGUAAAUGCCAUGAAAGGCAAACCAUACAAGAAAAGAAGUUGUAAACAUAUAAGAGUGCUUACUAAUCACUGUUGAAUGAUAUGUUAAUUGUCUCUCUUUGAAUCUACAAGAGUUUAUAUUUUGUGAAUCAUAAUAUGCCACCAAGAAAAAUGCCUCCCAGGGUUAAACCCAUAAACACCUUGAUGGAUUAGACAAAGUCUCGUACUAAGAUGCGAAAUCAAUUUUGAUAUUAUUUAUAACCUUUCAAUCUCUUUUGUGCGGACAUUGUCCACUUUGAGUUCAAUGAAUCCUCACAACCUAAAAAUGUGUUUAUCCUAUUGAAUAGAAACUCUCUGUAUUUAUGAUGUUGAUUUAUAAAGAUGAAGAAAUUGUUUUAAAUUUUGUUUUACGAGUCAAUGGGACCACGAAAAAGGAAAACAAAAAGGAAAAAGUUAGUAGAUGUUGACUAAAAUGGAUUAAAAAAACACACACACACACACUCACAAAUAUUAAAAAUUCCUCAACCGAUUGAGAAAAUUCCUUAACCGGUUGCCACUGGUUAAAAAAAUCUUCAACCAGGCCGGUUGAGAAAAUUCCUCAACCGGUUCCCUUUAUUCCUCAACCGGUUGCCACUGGUUAAAAAAUUCCUCACCCGGUUGUUACAAUUCCUCAACCGGUCUCCACUACCUUCACAAGUCGUACCUAUGAUUCACACCAUAACCUAUAGUCUUACAGGUACUAACUAUAUAAUUUUUAGCAUAGAUAAAUGAAUAUAUAUAUAUAGGAACAAAAAAAAAUCUAAUUAUCUAAAAGAUCAUACAAAAUCAAACAUGUCGAACAUGAAUGAUGCCUAUAUAUUACAAUUUCAAUUUGCAGACCAUAUUGAAAGAAGAGUAUAGAAAAUCAAAAUAAAACGGACUUAAUGAUGAAUAAUGUAUGGUCAUCCAAGGUAAGAACUUCCCAAUAAACAUGACGAUAUGUGGAGAUGGAAAUUAUAAAUAUUAGAAAAACAACAAAUAUCAUAAUAAUAAUUUUUCCAUUGCUCAUGUCGACAUCUUUGUACAAAUAAUAGCGACGAUGGUUUGCUUUUCUCUAUUGCCUCCGUGUAAAACUAAAUCACUUGUUAUUUCCCGACGUAGUUUAACAGAAUUACAUAAGUCGGAGACCGUCAUGGAAUCACCAUUGUUGAAUGUCUGCAUAUGUUUAAUGACAUGCACUACACAAUUCCACCUAAGAAAAAUAAAAGAAAAGAAAAACAACUUAUUGAAUGGUUGUAUAAUUAUAGCUCAGAUAAACAAUAGUAAUGUGAGUUAUGUAUUCAUACUAACCCAUUCUCUUGGGUCGGAAUCGAAGGAGCCCAAUCAAUGGAGAAUUGGAAGACAUCUGUCCCUAUGUCAUACAGUUUGAAGAACGUUUGACAAAAUUCAACCUAAUUUAUUAUGAAAGUGUUAAUAAAUAUGGAAGAGAGAAAAAAACAGAAUAAAAGGAAAAUAUAAACAUUAAAGCAUACCACUGUUUUGACACUCUGAAACUGGAACUUGUCUCGAUUCUUCGAUUGUAAUGAAUCCAAAAUUUGGAUAUGAGAGUUUUUGAAGUCAAUGACGCACAAAUACCAAUGACUAGGGCAUUCGUCAUGCAUUGGAAUAAAUAGUUGUAAAGUUAGAAAAACAAUAUAUAUGAGUUGGGGCACAAAAAAUCUACUAUAUUAUAGGUGAAAACAAUAUCUAUUCUAAAUUUCAUAUAUGCAAUUAAACAUUAGAAAUAAUUACUAACCUUCUCGCAAUCAUCUAAUUCGCUAAUGUACUUACUCCCGAUGGAUGUUUUUCUAUCAAAAAAAUGAUGAGGAGUCCCGCACAAAAUCAUUUGCUAAUAAUAAAACAUAAUAUGAACAUUAGUAUAUUGUACUUAAUACGUAAGUAAACAAGAAGAGAAAUAUGAGCUUACUGAAAAUGUCGUGGGAAGAUAACAUCUUAUACUUGCAAUGCCUAUAAAUUGCCUCUGAAAAUAAUUUAGCUUUGAGGCUUCUAGUUUUAUUACCUGUUGUUAAACAAUAACUUCAAUAAAUUAAUUUAAUUAAUUUAGCACACAAUUGAAAUAAAUGAAGUAGGUACUUACAACAUCCAUCAAAUUUUGUCUAGGGCGUAAGCACUCAAAAUCUCCACGAAUUCCAUGUUCAUGAUCAAAGUUAACAAGAAGCUCACUAAAAUAAUAAUAUGUUAAAACAUUCUUUACUAAAUUGGAAGCAUAUGAAGGCUAAAAUUGUAACAAGACAUCUAUUAAUAUUCUAGACACUACAAACCUUUUUAACAAUCCUUUAUUGAAAACAUAAUUAGCAACAAGAGAUUGAAGUACAUUGAAUGAUUGACCAUCCACCACGUCUUCACGAAUGGACAUGGGGAUUGACUAAAUUGAAAACAAGACAUAAUUAUUACCUAUAUAUGUUGAGUAUCCAAAAUAAGAACAUGAUAUUAAACUAUUUGUAUUAAACCUCUGAUGCUUGACGUUUUCCCAUCUUCCUUAAAUUGUGUACAAACGGGGAGACCUUGAAUUUACUUGGUUUCCUCUCCCUUAAUGUACAUGUUUUCAUGACAUGAUCGGGAUAACCACAUAGUGCUCAUAAUGGUUCCUAAUAUGGAAAAUACCAUUAAUAUACAUCUAUUUACUAUGCAAUGGUUAAGUAGUUGUAAAGAAAAUAUUUUUUUCUUUUAUAUGAUACAUACCUUUCCAUAAUCUCUUCUACUCCUUUUGAUUGGAAAUGGUAAAAUAUCUACAUUUUCGUCUGGAAUGAUAUGCACUUCAAUUGAUGUAGCACAUGCAUCUUCAUUCUUUCCAUUCAAGUCCUCAGUACAUAACUUCUCAAUUGUAAAGAAAAUAUUUUUUUCUUUUAUAUGAUACAUACCUUUCCAUAAUCUCUUCUACUCCUUUUGAUUGGAAAUGGUAAAAUAUCUACAUUUUCGUCUGGAAUGAUAUGCACUUCAAUUGAUGUAGCACAUGCAUCUUCAUUCUUUCCAUUCAAGUCCUCAGUGCAUAACUUCUCAAUUGACAAAGUGUGAACAUAAUGUUCAUUUCCAUUCUUAUUGUCCUUAUCUUCAAAACUUCUCUCACACGAGAGAAUGUCAUUCUUCGUUCCCUUGUCGUGCAUUCUCAAAGGUUUUUCGCUUGAUCCAACGAAGAGACCUUUCAAUGUAGUAUAUUUCUCCUCAAAUUCAGUCAAAACUUUUUCACACCUACUACUUGGACCAUGAGACAAAUCAAUUAGAUGUGUCUUUAAUUGUUCAAAGGUUUUAUCCAUCUCCAUUAAGCUCCCACCGUGUUCCUAGUGAUAUAUGGGAACUUCAUUAAUAACAUAAUAAUACAAGGGUUCACUACUAAUAUUGAUACUCAUGAUGAAUAUUGUAAAACGUACUCGUUUAAUAACAUCUUUAUUUGGAUUGAUUUCAAAUUUCUGCUCCUCCUCAUUCUCUCUCUCCAUUGUCAUCGCAUUUCUAUCAACACAAUCCCUUAUCUCAUUUUGUAUCACCCAUAUUUUGACCUACAAUAUAUUCAUCAAAAUAUAACACAUAUCAAAUUAAAAAUCACUAAAAACUUAAACCAAUAUUAAAAGACUUUUGAAACUAUAACUUACAUUGUCAUUUGCAUAUCCACCGACUUUUUUCAAUCUUCGUUUCAUGUCCAGUACUUGAUCAUCUCCCCAAGCAGUAAUCCGAGGACAAGGUCGAGUAUAUAAUGGUAGAAAUUUCUCUUCGAACGAUAUAUGCUUGUGGUAGAAUAACUGCAAUUAUAUUUGACAUACAUAUAUAGUUAACAAAUUUUAUUAUAACAAAUUCGAAAUUCACUAUGAUGUCGAUUAAUUAUAAGGACAUUACCAUUAAAAACAAUAAGCAAUCGCAAACCCCACUUUGUUGUUUCAUCUUAAACUCUUCAAUCCCAUGCACAAGAUAAGACAACACAAAUUCAGCCCAAUUCAUCUUCUUUAUUGAAUCAAUGUCUUCCACAAGAUGUAAGAAAGAACGUUUCACAAAAAACUUCAUUGUUGGGCACAAUAAUGCACCCAACACAAAUAAUACAAAACGAACUUUGAAAUCGUUUCCACCUUCUUUAUCCUCCCUAAUUUGAUUUUCUAACAUCACUAAUGGCAAUUGCCCCUUUUUAUCACAAUAUUUUUUACAUAAAUCAUUGUUAUGGCUAACAUCUUUGUUCAUGCCAAUCUUCAACCCUCUUGCCCUCAAUCCCAUAAUAAAUUCAACAUCAACGGAGGAUAAUUUGAUACAAGUAUUAUACAACUUUCACAUAUAAGUGUUCGGGUUGAAACUAUUUAUCAACCAAAGACAUAACCCAUGAUCAAUUUUCCUACAUCGGAGUUGCAAGAGGCUACCAAAACCUAUUUCUUCUAUGGCUGCUCUUUGCUUUGGUUCUAAUUCUUCAAUAACUCUAAUCACUCGUUCGGGUGAGCAUUGAGUCUGAAGAUAUAACUGAAAAAAUACACAAACAUCAAACAUGUUUAAAUUAAUAUAAUUUCCAACAAAUACAUAAGUAAUGAAAUUAAAUAUUCAUUACAAAAAAAUUGCCUUUGGAGCCACACCCUUUUGAAGUCAAUAUUGUUUUGAACUUUCUUUGGACUUUGCCAUGAAAUCUUAUUUUUCUACUUUUGAAAGUUCAUUCCACUUCUUGCCCAAUUUUUUCCUCAACUACAUUAAUUGGUCACAUACUUUAAAUUCUAAUUUUAAAAUGUAAUUAUAUUAGACACAACAAUAUUACUCCUUACAUCAUCAUUUAUCUUAACUCCUUUAUCCUUCUCUUUGAUCAUGACCAAUUGAUCGUUACUACAAAACAAUUUCAAACAAAUUUAACUAUAAUAACCACAAAAAAAUACAUUAAAAAACAUAUUCUUUUACAUAUUUCUAUUUUUCCUUACUAGUAAUGUAUCCAAACUCCAAUAGGCCUCUUUGGAUUUCGAACAACUUCAACAACAUUGCGUUCGCUCCUAUAAAUUAAAUCAAAUCAUUUAAGUCAAUUUUUAUAAUAUGAUUUCAAAUAUAAUAAAUCAAACAUACUUUCACUACCACUACAAAAUCCUCCCUAAAUCUAUGUACAUUUUAAAUGGUCACAAAAUUAUCAUAUCAAUUAUUUUCAAUCUCCAAUUAUGGAUUUAACCACAUUAUUUUUCAUUAAUGUCAUUGAUCCAUAAAUCUCACAAAAAACAUGAAAUAUAAUGGCUACAAUAUUGUAAAACACAUUAUCAAUACUCACAUUUUUUUUCCUUAAUAUAGAACUCGACAAAUAAUUACGACACAACCGUCUUUCGAUUAACAAAAAAUUGUGUCCUUUUUAGCUUUCUUUCUCUUAGUACUACACAUCUUCUUCUUCUUCUUCUUCCAGUUAUGUCUUCAAUUCGGGUUUUCAAACCACGAAAUUUAAAAGCCGAAAACACCCCUUAAACAAAAUAUAAAAUAUGAAGAAAAUACAAGGGUUAUGGAGAGGAGAGGGGGAAUGGGAAUAUCGUACUCUUUACUUCAAAACCCGAAAAAACCCCAAAUAUGAAAACUAAAUAUGGACAUAAUCAAAGGGGGUGCGAGAAAAUACAGAACUCGAAAAGAUGCCCCUCGAAACGGCUACAAUAUCUCACCCGAAAACACCCAAUAACACAAAAACAUCCAACAAUACAUGAAGACAAUUGAAAGCGCCUGAAAAUAACAGUCGAUGGAGAUGAGCAGAAAACACAAGUACUUGGAGAAGAACCGAGUAUGGAGAAGAGAGGAAAAUAGACGAAAAUAUCGGGAAACUCGGUAAAAAAGGGAGAAAACAGAAACUAAACUGAAGAUUAAUGGUGAGAGGGGUCUCUAUCUCCUUCUUUAGUGCUUUCUUUCGCCCAUUUCUUCAUUGUCUCGCAUUUGGCUCUUAGGUUUCUUCCGAAGAUAGGAUUUCCUUUUUUUUUUCUGGAGUAGACUCUGGUUUUUAGGUUGGUUUUGAGUGUAUUACGGGGUUGUUUGAGGUGGGUUUUGGAAGAUUAUGAGAUUGUGAGCGAAGAUUGAGAGAGGGUUGUGAUUGUGGAGUCGGGCUGGUGAUGAAUUUGGCACUAGACACUCCUUGAAUGAAGAGAGGCAAAGAGAGGAAACUCGACCCGACUGUCGAGGAUGAGUGGAGAUCAGAGCACGGGGACACAGCCGACUAUGGAGGAGAAGACGGUUGCCUAUGGAGGAGUGUGGAGAUGAGAGCACGAGACACAGCCAACCAUGGAGGAGAAGACGCUCAACUAUGGAAGAGAAAAGAGGGGAAAAAUGGGAAAAUGGGGGCUAAGAGGGGGAGAGAACAUGUAGAACAGGAAGGAAGAGAGAGAACAAACGGGAAAAUAGGCUGAGAGGGGGAGACAACAAGUAGAACAGGAGGGAAGAGAGGGAACAAACAAGAAAAUGGGCUGAGAGGGGGAGACAACAGGUAGCCAGUUUUUUUUUUUUUUUUUCAUUUUUUCUUUUUCUUUUGAAUGGCUGAGAUUUAAUAUCUUUCAUCCAAUGGCUACAAAAAAUCUGAGGCAAGUACCUCCCUCGACACCAUAGAAUUUUUCUAUAUAUAUAUAUAUAUAUAUAUAUAUAUAUAUAUAUAUAUAUAUAUAUAUAUAUAUAUACAUUUUCAAAAUUUCCUAAGGCACAUUUUUCAAGCUUAAGAUUCACAGGGCAAUAAUAUUGUAAUCUUGAUGUAAAAUGCAAGUGAGAUGGAAGGAGUAAUUAAUUUGUUUUAUUAUUCACCAUUUUUACAUGUUAAUAUAUAUAUAUAAUUCACCAAACACGUGUUUGAUCAUGUUUUCUAUGCUUGUUUUUAAAAACUAUUUUUAGUAUUUUAUAAAAAUAAAGGUAUUUAACAAAUUAUUUUUAAAACCAGUUUUUAAAAAUAAAAAAUAAAAACUAAAAAUCUUGUUUAAAUAAAUUAUUAAAUUUUUUUUUAAAAAAAAACAUUGUAAAUUCAAUAUAAUAUGAAUUCAACAAAAAAAACUUGUAACUUUUUUUAGGUUUCGAAAAUUUUGAGGGAAAUAAAAUAAAAAGAAAAAAAUACAAGAAAAUAAAAAAAAACUUUGCGGAAGUAAAUUUUCUCUUCCUUUUAAUUAAAAAAUUAUUAAGAAAUCAAAAUCUUAGCUGGAUCAUUGAGUCAGCGUGGGACUUCAAAACUAGCACAUGUGCAUGCCAUUAUUUAUUUAUUUUUGUACUUUCAAAGCAUAUUAUUUUUAUUUUCAAUAUUUUAAGAUGACGCAUUUUUCAAGCUUAAGAUUCUCUUUAUAAUUGUUGUUGGUUGUAUCAAGAUUAAUUUAAAUUUUAGAUAAAACUUAACACAACUUACAUUCAAUUUAUUAAAUUUGAGUUAAUAAUAUUAGACAAUAGAAUUAGCAUGUGAUCUUUUUUAUUUUAUAAUUAUGGCCGGCUUGAUUCUUAUAAAUAUAAAUAUGAAGAUUAAAUUAAAAAAUUAGAUUAAACUCGAUUUAAUAAAACUAGCUUAACUUUUUUGUUUCUUAUAAUUAUGGUCCGCAAGCUUAUUGUCGAUUUGGGAUGACAAUGGAUGAGUUUUUUUUUUUUCCUAUACUUGUGUUUAACAAGAUAGAUUUGAAAUUUAAAUAAACGAAUUAGAAGUAUGUGGACCCCGUAUUUCAGCUCAUGCGUUUCCACUCGAUGGCGAGCUCGAUUUUUUUAUUUAAAAAAUGAUUUUUAUUUAUUAGAAAAUGACUUGGAGUCACCACUUAUUUUGUUUUAUUUUUUAAAAGGGUAAAUAAAAUAAGAAAGAAAACUCUAAAUGUGACUCAUUGUUUUGGAAAAUGUGGUGUGUGAAAAACCAGAUCGGCCUCGGGGAUCAGGUUAAUUAUCGAGAAGGUACAGUAAAGACUAUAACACCCCUCUAAGUCCCUAAAGUUGAGUAUUUACUAAUAAAAUGAAGCUGAUGUGACAAUCAAUAAGUAAAUCAAUGGAUACUCAAAUCGAUCAUGCACAUAUGGAAAUCAGAACAUGCAUAGAGAAUGAUCAGAGUGAGAGUUGGUGCGUACCUGGGCAACGAGCCACCAUACGCUAUCAAGAAGUAAAGUUAGUAUACAAAUAAUGGACAUAAAACAUAACUCACAUGUCGCUAAAUUAAGUACGAAGUCAUCACAUGUCACAAUUCAAUCAAAUGGGUUUUCAAAGGAAACAUCCAAUAAUGUUGGGCCCCACCAAAACCCAUUUAUUUUGCAUGAACCAAUUCCAAUAACUCCAUUAUUCGGAAUUACAGGAUUAAAUUUAUGCUUAUUUUAAAACAUUUUAAAAAAACGAGGAAAAUGUAAAAAUGGCUUGUCGAAAAGAACAUAACAACCAAUAUUUUUAUUGAAAGAGAUGGAUUUUUGGGAUUUAAAAAUUCUAAAGAUGAAAAAUUGGAAGAUUCGAAAUUAUUUGAAAACUAGAAUUUGGAAAAUCAUUCACAAAAUAUUUUUAAAAAAAUGAGAGGAUGAAAAAGUAGAUGAUGACACAUGACCCAAAAGUUGCAUACCAAAUGUGGUCAUGCAACCGGAAGCAUGCAGGGGCGGGCCUUGAGUAGAAAGUCAACCUGAAGCACAACUGAAUUGAUGAGAUCUGCAUAACUCACUGUCAGAAUUAAUGACAUGCACCUCGCGGGUGCAGUUGCAAAAGUUUGAUCGCAUGUGCUGUAUGAUGCAGAUUCAUAUCCCCCAUAUUCCUGCUUUGCAUUUUCUCUAACACAUUUCUUCAGAAACACAUCCAUUUGACUCUCAAACCCAUAAGAUAUAUCUGCCAGCAUAGGAGGAUUAGGAAUUGAUGCAGAAGCAUGAUGCAUCACACCAAAAUCAAUAAAUGGGUGACCAAAGUGUUCAGAGUUGUAGCAACAGUCACAAUCCAAGCAAAAAUCUCCAAGCGGGACAAAACCAUAUUUCACUACCUUUAACAGUGAUUUUCAAUGGAUGAUCAAGAUCAUGUAACUCCAUAAAAAGAAAAUUAGCAGGGAACCACUGAUCUAGAGAAUGGUUGCCUUUAUGACUACUAGAAAAAUUAAAUCCAUCUUCAUUCAUCUCUGCCAGCUUGCCCAGAUCCCCUAAGUCCCUAAAAAAAAAUCAUUUCCUUCCACAUUAGGUAAUGUAUCAUCCACAUUUUGAGCAUGGCUGGGUUUAUCCACCUCAUUUUCAUCAUUCUCAAUGGAAACAAGGAUGUUAUAUUCUUCAAACAUGUCAAGCAUUUGAUAGAAGCUCAUUAUCAUCUGGAAGCUCAUAAAUAUCACCAUCUAGAACUGAUGGAAGCGCCAUGUCAGUAGAUGGAAGACUUCGAGAUGGACCUGAGUUAGAUGGAAACCCAAUAGGUGCGUCCUCAGGGCCAACCGUGUCUCUUAAAAUGGAAUUGCUUUGGCUGUCAUUAAGAAUUUCAUGUGAUGAUUCAGCAAGGUGACAUGCCUGGAAACUAAUUGAAGUAACGGCGGCAACAGGUCUUUCCUUCUCAACAGUCUCAGUUUUCAGCUGACUAUGGAGAUACCGAACUGAUCAACAUAAAACCAACAAGAAAUGCUCUACUCCCUGAAUAUUUCCUGACGUAACCUCCUUCAGAAUACCAUCGGGCAAAGCAAGAUUCGCAUACUAGGUAUCUGAAACUUGUAAGCUUUCCCCUGGACCAAACCCCUUAACGUGCCAGUCGUAUUCCACUCUCAAUCCAUUUGCAUCAGUGGCCUUGAACUUGUGCAGCGUACACUCCGGCGACAAAGAAGUUUCCGACGCAGCUUCCUCGUAGUUUUCAAAAGACCGACGCGUCAGCAUGCGAGGGUUUUCAUCAACGGCGAAUGCCCAGACCCGACUGGCAAUGAGCUUAUGGUAUCGGACGUCGACAGAAUCAUGAUUAUCAAUGAGAACAGUCGCCAGAUUGACGCACAGAAUCUUGCAGGGGAAAAGAUCAAAAGUGAAAAUUCUUGCGAUGGAUGGGAGUAAGAAAGAACAUCAUUCCUUAGUGGGGACCUCUGGAAUCUCUAACCCUUGCCAUAAUUUAUCUGUCUGUAUAAAAUUCCGACGGUGCUGGUAUCGAAUCUUGUCUGUCAGCAUUUAGAAAUGGCUCAUAGUGGCAGGCUCUGGCUCUGCAUCUGAACAAUCACAAGUGCCGAAAAUGAAAAACCCAGCCAAGAUUAAUAAUAGUGCUACUGCUAUUAGCGCUGGCUGAUGGCGUCGAUGGAGACGAGAACAAGGCCUAAGGAAUAGUGGGAAAAUUUGCACUGACACUGACGUAUUCAUGUUUGCCAUUCUUCAAAGCGGUGGAAAAGAAUGCACCGAUCUGCUCAUGUACGUCUUCCAAGCCAUUCACCACAUAGGAAUAUCCACGUCGACACCUUGGCUUUUUCUGGAUUACUAUUGGGACUAGUCUUGAGGGGGCCAGAGGCACCAGAUCAGUAAUAUCCUUCAAUGUUGAAUGCACACGUGAAAGAACUUGGUCUUCCCUUGCAAGACCACGUGGCUGCUUCAGUAAAUCCCCGUUGACAGUAGCUUCUCAUUGUCCUGUCCGAACGCUCGUGUUCACCAUUGAAAUCAGUGCAAAUGGGUCAUCAACUGACUGGUACCGUACUAAUAAGGCUUACAUCAAUCUCGGGAGUGUAGCUGUUGCUCACCACAUGGAAACACCCAUCUCCGCACCUGGGCAUUCUCUGACCUAACCAUCUCCAAAACGGUUGAACAUUUGUCAUUUGCAUUACGCUGGUGCACCUGAUUUUGAAAAAUAUUCCCAGAACUGUCACGGAUUAUACAUCUUUUCGAAUGAAGGUAUUUGGGCUGCCUCUAACUGAUAGAUAUUGGACUCACAAUGUCUCUUGCAGCAAUUGCUAUCUCACAUGUGCCAAUUUCUUUAAUUUGUACCCAUUUAUGGGCAUCUCCAUGAAAGGGUCUUUACUGACUUUAAGUAGCUCUUUCAAAGGCCAACCUAUGGAUUACUUGGGUGCAAUUGUGAGCUCCAUCUGGUAUUGCUUGGAUCUUACCGGCAAUGCAAGGACUGAAUCAUUACGAGCAGCAAGUUCUUCCAUUAAAAGCCCUUUUUGCCUUAUUUAUAACCAGUUUCCGCAACUUAGGAACCUCAUCCAGAAAUCUAGUCUUGAUCCAACAAAUCUCGACGUUCAAAGCAAGCACAGAUGCUCAAUUUUUCCCGUUGAAUGCAGUCUUCGUUUUCUAAAGAACGACUUCGAUGCCGGCUUCAAUGAUGGCGCCCGGAUGAACGAAAACGUCAUCACCGGGACAUUGGGACUCUUCUGCUUAUCGAUGCCACACUUGUAGCAGUUCAUGCACAAUAGCUUCAGAUCUGUCUAAGAGAUUACAGCCUGCAUGCAAGGUGUUUCCUCCAGCAAAUGCCGAAAUCCUGUGGUGGCGUUCCUGUAAAUGCUGAAUAGGAAGAGUGAGCAUCGCUUUUAUUCCAAGAAUCUGUGCGAAUACGCUGAGACGAGCCAACUCAACCCAGUUCGACACAAAGAAAGGAUGAUUUGUUUUAAACCCAAAACUCAUCUCUCUAUCAACCAACAACUGCGCAUGAAGGGCAUGUGGUGUAGAGAGAGAAAUGUGGUGAUAUGCAUGGGGGCAUAGAAGGUGACCAUGGGUGUACGACUCUCAGAAGCAUGAGUAAGGAAUGGGUAUGGGCAGCAUGAAGGAUGGGUAUGGGUAGUAUGAAAGAUAGGUAUGGGGGGUGAGUAUGUUUGGUAGACUUGAAGAAAAAUGGGUAUGAAGAGCAUAUGGUAUAGAGAGAUGAAUGAGUGGGGAAUGGGUGGUGAGCGAGUUAGUGAGAAGAAUGGGUAUGAAUGUGAACGGGGUGGAUGGAAAUAUAUCAAUGAGAGAGAACGGGUAUCUGGGCAUGCUGAAGUAUGGGGAUGAAGGUGGCCAUGCGCAAUAGUCUCUACGUACGUGGAUAGGAAGUGAGCAAUGGGUGUGGGAAUGAAGCGGGUUGUUGCAGUGGAUGUGAAGGAUGAGGAACGAGUAUGAGGGAUGAGUUUGGAGGAUAGGUAGAGUGGAUUUGAAAUAUGAAUGGUGAACGGAGAUGUAGAGAAGGGAAUUUAAUAGAUGGGUGGAUAAUGAAACAAACUUCCCGGCUGCGUCUUCAUACCCUGAAUUCAGGUUAGCAUCGUCAUAGCCACCUCGCAUGUGCAUACGCAUGUGGCGGCCUUCUUUGUCAACAACCCCACGAACAUGGUGCUGCCUCCACACUCAGCGAGUGAGUGAUCAAUCAGGCGCAGUAGGGCAGGGGGUAUAAGCUGUUUCAAAGCCCCAAGAACCAUAUCCCACGACACUAUUCCAUCUGAGUCUGAAUGCAUUGAUUAAACUGGGCCAUCCACGGACACAGCCUGUGACAUGAAGUUUAGUGGCAGUGAUAGCUUGAUAGUGAGGGCAUGCUUCCUAGAUGGGUCCAUGACUUCUUCAUUGGGUCGUGAACCUCAUACCCACCAUCGCGGCCCACCCACAGGGCCUUGUAUCCAUUACCAUCAAUUUCAACAAAUGGAAUUUCAAACUCAAGUGAGUCCACUGAAGGUAAACAAACGCUUUGCCACCUGAUAUUUAAGAUACUACCAUGUGUCAACUGCAAAUAGAUUGCUGCUUCCCCUUAGUGCUGAGGGGACUCUACUAAACCCAAACGUCCUGAGUUGUUGACAAUCUUUUGUGAGACUCCUUUCAUCCUAAAAAAAAAAUAACCUCUAUCUUCGUGCACAGAAGAACUCCUUCUUUCAAAGUCCUAGUCAUGAUUUUUUUCCAGUAGAAGUAGGUAUCAGGACAUCCAACGUCCUUUUUGACCUGUAUGAGAUACUCCUUGGAAUACCGGUCUGAAAAGAGUAAUUGAGCACGGGCUUAGCUCCAGCUACUAUAAAUCUUCUAAUCUCUUUAGGAAUGCAUCAGAGGAAAUGUUCCUAUGGAGCACUAAAGAUCUUAGGUGGUUCAGUUCCCAAACCCAACUGCUCCCCAAGAAGAAAUCAGUCUUUCAAAUUUAAUGGGAUAAGAUUGCAGGAAGGGGAAUCUGAUCCAAGAGCAUUUAAAUAAGAUCCAGGAGGUGUAUAUGCAUUGGCCUGAGCAUUCGGUGACUCUUUUCUGUAUCAUAACCACUAAGAGAGGAGCCGUCUCUUUCACGCAAACUAGAUUUCCAUUUUCAGCUUUUCAAAUUUCGUUCAACUUUAAAGAGACCCGGUAUUUAGAUCCACAAAGCAACAGUGAAAACAACCACCAUUUCUAGCUCAAUUUUUGUUUUUGUUAGGUAUAGGCAACCUCCAUUCUUAUCAGUAUUCCCAUCGCUGGUGGACAGCAAUUCCGAUUAACAUUAAAAUGCAGAAGCAGUUUGAAGAUAGAAAAUGAAUGUAAAUAUAUAAUAUUACACAACAUUAAACUCCCUUUUGCCCUGGGUCUCCCCUGAAAAUAUUAAAACGAAAAAACUACAUUUUUUGCAAUAGUAGGGACUUGAACCCAAACCAAUUAUUAUCCAUUUUAACAAUGACAAUUCUGAAUCAUUAGGUUAAAACCCACAUUUGUUUCACGGAUUAUCUCCUUGAACUAAAUUGCUAAAAGGUUGGUUUUUGUUUUUUGAUUAAAUUAAAAAAAUCAAAAUAUAUUCAAUUUAAUUAUAUUGAUUGAUAUAAAUAAAUACCCAAAAGUGAAACAUAUAUAGUAAAAGUUUUUCCAUUGAACUACUGUGAUACAAGGUUUGCAAAAAAUAGGCAAGUAGCAAUAGAAAUUAUUAUAAAAUCAUUGGUUUAUAAAAAUAUUAAAAUAAAAGUAUUUUAGUCAUAUCUUAAAUGAAUAGUAGUCAGUCCUUUAUAUGAAAUAAAAUAUAUUUCUCUUUUUAUAUGAAAUUGGUGGGGAUAUAACCAUCAAACAUCAAACCAAAAAGAGAAACCAGCCAUUUACAAGAGAAAAUAUCAAGAAUAUUAGAGAGAACAAAAUAGAGCAUGUAUAUGCAGGCAAUCGUGUUCAACUAAAACAACCUUGUGGCCCUAGAUGUCCACAGCAAAUCACAAAAUAAUAUUCAUGGAUGAUGUUGGACAUUAAGGGAUGGAAACGUAUCAAGCUCAAGAUAGCCUUGCUUGGAAGUUCACAGCGCGACCUUCCUUUCCUCAGCUAUCUUCUUCCUCCAUCCUUUCCUUUUCUCAAGCUAUCUCUCCUAAAGAAAAUGCUAUGUCACUUCCUCUCUCCUCCUAGGCUGCUCAUUCUGGUUCUUCUCUAAAAAUGAAUACGCUUCUCCCUUCCCUACCUCUGGCUUCCUCCCUAAACUCAAAGAACGCACCUCAAAAAUCUCUCCCCUCUCUGUUUCUCUCCUAUCUCUGUUUUCCUCCUCCGCGGCAACGAAAACACCCACCUCUCAAAAAAGUAUCACUCUCCUGUCUUUCCUCUCUCUCAUACGCUCCUCCUCUCCGACCUCUGGCUUUCUCCCCAAGCAAAAGAAUUCCCCCUCUGAAGCUAAAGGAAUUCCUCUUCUCUCGUCCGACUUGCCCCCCAAGAAAGAAUACCCUCAAAAUAUCUCUAAAAAACCCCCUCUCCAAACGCACCACCCUACAACAACCAAAACACCACCUUGCCUCUACCAGAAUCUGCCUUCUCUCUCUCCUACGCUCCUUCAUAACGACUUCGACUUUUUCCAGAAUCUUCUUGACACUAACGUAAUUCCAUGAUAGGCGACCACGAGGUAGCACUUGCUCUCAAAGAGCCCUCCAUCUGGCAAGUGAGCUGCAGAAAAUGGGAGAAAAAUGAGCCCCAAACGGGGUCUACAAAGUGGGUUUGAGAUUUUUUUUUUUUUUUAAAAAACCUAAGAUGAGUUUAGAACGGGUAUUACUUAGUCCCGCCCACCCCACCUUGAUUACAUAUAAAAUUAAUUUAAAAUGUUAAUUUAAUUUAAUUUUUAUUUUCCUAUUUUUAAUAAAAUAAGUUAUAAAAAAUUAUAAUAUUUUAAUUAUUUAUAAAAUAUAUUUAUUUUGAUAUAAUUAAAAAUAUGUAUUUUAAUUUAUUUUAUUUUUUAAAAAAAAAAAAGUUAAACAUGUUGCCUAUGGGAAAUUCGCAUACUAGUCCACCUUACCCCGUCCCGUCUAAUUUUUUUAAUAAGACGGGUAUGAGAAUUAUUUUGAAUAAACGGGAUAUGAUUGAGAUGAGUGCAAUCCAUCCCCAACAUGUAUAGCUUGCCAAUCUCCAACGUCAAGAUGUAUUUAAUAAAAGAUUAAGUAAGGAACCUAUUUGCAACUUAUUAAAUUUGAUUAAUUUAAAAGGUUAGUGAAGCAAAUCCAUUUGCAAAAAUUAAAAAUGCAUAGAUUUUUAACUAAUUUUAAAUAUAUUUGAUUUUUUAUUUAUUUAUAUUUUCCAUAUUAUAACCCAAUAUGAAAAAAAUCACUUUCCUUAUUAUUUUUUUCUUUAUUACUUUUUGGAACAAAUAUAACCUAAGACUAUGUCUGGUUUCCUUAAAAUUUAAGAGAAAAUAUGUUAAGGAAAGAAAAAACAAAAAAAAUAAAAAAAUGAAAUUCAAAAUCAAUAAUUAUUUUAUAUGUUUCUUCAAAUUCAUUUAACUUAUUUUUCCCCAUUAUAUAAAUAUUAAAUGAUUUUAAAAUACAUAAAUUUCUAACUAAUUUAAGUAAUAUUUGAUUUUCUUUCAUAUUUUCUAUAUUAAAAUUAAAUAGAAGAAAACAAUUUUUUUAACAUUUUUUUCUUUCCUUAGCAUUUUCCUAAAGCCAAACAUAACAUAAAUGUUUUGAAUUGAAAACUAAUGUCAUUGUAUAACUUUAUUGAUUGGUUGGAUCCUUCCUAAGGGAGGGAGUUGUUUUUUGUUUUCCCUUCCAUUUUUUGGCCAUCUUUCGAUAGCCAUUGUAUAUAUCUUGUGUGCUUUUUCUAUAUUGUUGAUAUUGGAGGAUAGAUUUUAAUAAUAUAUAUAUAUAUAUAUAUUCUUAACUUCUUGUUUUUAUUUUUAAUGUGAAAGCACUUUUAGAUUUAGCAUGCCCAUAUUAUUAGUUGUAAGACAAAUGAUAGAAUUGAAAAGAAUGAUUUGGGCUUUGUUCUCAGAAGAAACAACGUUAGUAUUAUAAGUAGAGAAAAGGCUACAAAUUAUAGAUGGGAGAUCCUCCCAAUUAGAAGAUGUUAUGAGAGGAAGGUAGAAGAAAGAAUGACAAUAACAAAAAAUAGACACCAACCCAAGGCCCACAGCACAAAUAUCCAAGUCCACCACUGAAACACAAAACAAGCAAGGGUGAAGGUGAAGACAAGAUGAAAGGCAUUUGGCUUCGAGGGGAGAUAUGAUCUAUUGGCGAACCUAUCAGCUUCCUGAUUGGUUGCUCUAGACUUUCAACAGAAGGAGCAUCUCAUGUCUCUAGACAGCUUCUCUAUCCUUUUCAACCAAUGGUUAUGUCUCCAUAAACAACCCUUCUUUUAUUUGUGGCAGGUCGAUUUUACAUCUCAAACUUGCAUGGCAUAUUGCUGUUGAAUUGAAACCCACAAAUUUGAUUUUGGCAUUAUGGUCAUCCCCCUCUUAUGUGCUCACAAUUUUUUUGUAACUUAUUUCAUUUUCUGCCAGGUUUAGCCCUGAAGCUCUAAAUGGGCUAUUCAUCAAGGGAUUGGUUGGCUGGUUUUUGCAAGUCUCACUGCUGAAAGUAUCAUUGCUUUCAUUGGGUAUUGGGGAGGCACCCUUUCUGGACAUUGUGGCAUAGCAGGGUACACUUUCACAGGGAUGUGCUUGGCUGUCCUUGAGAGGGAUCAUGUGGAGUAUCUCAUAUUAUUUCUUGAUGCCCUGGGCAUGCCUAUGCAUGGGAAUAUUCUUGGUAAAAACAAUAAAGAGAGUCCUCUUUGCAGAGGUGAGGAGUUAUGUUUCCAGCAAGCAUCACUAUCUCUUGCUCCUUAUUGCUUUGGCUCAGUUCCCACUUUUCAUAUGGCUUGGCAACAUUAGCCUUCAUUGGCUUUUCUGAACUUCAUCUUUGAUAACUGUAUCCGGAAACAAUUUGCUUCUGUGGAAGUCUUAAAAUGUUGUAGUUUUGGUCUAUGAUGUCGGCCAAGUGACCAUUCUCCAAGACUAGAAAUAUUCUUUAAACUUAUGCUAAAGCUUAAAUAUGAUUCAAUUGUUCUCCUAGUUAAAACAGAAACCAAGCACUUGGCUUCCUUGUUCAGAAUUAUUUAUCCUUUUUUUCCCAAUUGAUUGGAAAUGAACUAGUUUAGCACUUGUAAUUUGACAUGUUCAUUUAAAGCAACUGUAGUUAAUAAAACAAUUGAGCAUGAACUGGAGUUGCCGAUGGAAUCCUGAAAGUGGAUGACAUAAAUUACUUGGUGCCUUCUUCUGGUACAUGAUACUCCUGAACUGAAUGUCAGCAUGGUAUUCAUGAAUCAAGUUUCAAAACAAUUGAGCUCAUAUAGAUCUUGCAUAACUGGAAAUCAAAGUGAAUCUCAUGUUGUUUUUGAUGGGUUUACAAUAAAAUCAAUGACAUCACUAUGGCCUUUGUCAAUGAUUGGGUUUUAAACUCUGGUUCAAAACAUCCACUGCAGUGGGAUAAUGGCCUUAACAUCCAGUGAUGACUUCAUUUUAGACUCCGGUUCAAAACAUCCACUGCCAUGAGAUAAUGGCCAUAACAUCUGAUGGACCUCGUUUUCCCAGACACACGGAGAUGGAUUAGGUAGGGGUGACUCUGAAUCACUUGCACUGAGUCUACUUCGUACGAAGUCUCUGAGGUCAGUUGAAGGUUGUCUGGUGAUCAGCUAGAUAAUUCCAAAUACUUGACGCGAGGCUAGAUGCUUGAGGGUAAAUCAAGAGGCACAGCAGUUGUAAAUCGUCUCCCCAUAUGGCAAAACCUAUUCUGUCACAAUGAUAAAAAGGUGUUUAAUUAUGGCAGGUAAUGGAGCUUCAGGCAAUAGGAUGUGAGGCAGUGAGAGGUCAAGAUAGAGCAACAUACAUUUCUUGCCCAUGGAAUGAUGCCCAUCCAAUAUAUACAGACUGCAAUUUUUACCAACAUUGAAGAAAGUUAGCCUCUCAUUAAGGCACUAAGAUCACAUUUAGAAAUCUCAAAGAAUUCUGAGAAUGUGUCAAUGCCUUGCAUCAUUCCAUUUAGAAAUCUGAGUCCCAGAAAGGUGUUAAUGCCGAUGUUCCAAAAUUUUGAAACCGUGUUGCAAUCUAUUCUCCUGCCACAGUAACAAGAUUUCUUUACAAUGAACAGUCGUGAUAAUUUCACAUCUGCUAAUGCUAGCAUAAGCCACAUUGAGAAAACAAUUGAUCCUUGGAUUAUUACCAAUCUCUAAGGAAUUGAAAAAGGCCAGAUGGUCAAGCUCCAAAGUUUUUGACGACAUUCCCGGUUCACCAAUCAACGAUAGUAUCAUACGUGAAACAGAAGACACAAAGUCUGAAACAUUCAAAAUCAAAAGCAUCUGUUUUGAUUAUUUAGCAAGAAAAAUAACAUAAUGGAUCUUAUUUGUAUGUAUAUCAAGUUUAACAACACGCCAUUGCAUGACUCCUUAAUUGGCUUCCAAUAUUCAGAUAAUUCAAAGGCACCAUUAUGUUUAAUUCCGAUAUAAAAGACUGUCAAAGAAGGGGGAUAUAAAUUUGUACGAGAGUUAACAAACCUCUGGUUUUUUGUCAGCAAAAUCUCAUUAACUGGAUUCCUGAAAAACGUAGUAAAAAUAAGUAAACGCUCAUUAGAGUUAAAUUCCAAAUCCAAAGUCAAUAGAAGGUUGUUUAUUGUAGAACUAAACACAAUUACUAAACCUUAUAAUGCAAGAACACAAAAUUGUCCAGAAACACAUUUUCCAUCUUAUCAGAUUCAAUUUAUGGCCUUCCUGCAUAACUGCAUUUUAUAUUUGAAAGGUAAAUCAGACAUUUUUUAUGUGAGUAAUAAGAGAGUAAAUGGCAUAAAAGGCAAACCAUACAAAUGAAGAAGUUGUAAACAUAUAAGAGUGCUUACUGAUCACUGUUGAAUGAUAUUUAAUCGUCUCUCUUUCAAUCUGCAAGAGUUUAUACUCAGUGAAUCAUAGUAUGCUACCAAGAAUAAUGCCUCAUUUCCUCGUUGUUGGAAAAAAAUGUAGUGAAAAACAUGUAAGUUGCCAAUAGAAAUAUACUAGUUUAAAAAUAAAGCAUUUCAAGUUACAUAAGGUUUGUACAAGUUGUAACUGACCUGAAAAAAAUCUGUAUGUUUGAUAAAGCUCAUUUUAAUGAAUCCUAACAAUGGUUUAAAAGACAUCCAAAAGGAGGAAAGCUGGAUCAGCAUUGCGCAUCCACCUAAAAGGAGUAACAUGAAAUGCAUCAAUAUAAAAUGAGAUGAAAAGAAAAUAGUAGUGCUCAUAAAAAUCCUUUCUGCAAAAUAAUGCAUAAAGACGACCAAUUCAUCAAUGUAAAACAAAUACAAACUGUUCUUUAUAUAGGUCAUAGUUCCAUCAGAGAGCAAUUUCAAACAAUCACAACAACUGAGCACAAGACUUUAUAACAUGGAUGACAAACCAGUCCUCAGAAGGAACCUAAAGAAAUGUGUGAUUCUCGACUCUCCAAGAGAUGUAUGACUAUUCAGUCUUACUGGCAGCUUCUCCAAGAUAGCACAAAAAAUAGCUUCAUGUCUACUGAAGACAGGUGAACUAAGCAGUGUCCAAGGAUUGGUGCUUAGGGAACACCUCAAGUCAUAAACAUAGAAAAUUUAGAAAAAAAGUUAGCAAAUAUAGGAAUCUAAAAAAACCAAUAAAAAUGUAAAAUAAAAAUUGUAACUUACCAUGAUCUUGCUAAGCUGUUGUUUAUCCUCUUUCUACACUCUUAACAUCAACAAUAGAAACAAAAACAAGUAGCAAUAGGAAUUUGCCACAGUCACUAUAGACAUGGAGCCUCCAAAUAUAAAACCCGAAUCCCCUUCGACAAGAAGAAAAAUACUUAUACUCUGACACCUGGGACAUGCACCUUUUAAACCUGCAAACUCCAAAAGAAGAGAUAUGGUUUCAUCAAAUCAAAAAUUUGAGAAACUAAAGCAAAACCAUUUUGUUUCUGCUCAAAUUUGUACAACUAGGCAUAUGUAAAUGUGACAGUAGCUCACAUUUUGGAAACCAAGUGGGAUAUAUUAGAAUAGAUACAAGCUGCUGUUGUUGCUAUGUAAUAAUUCCAUUAGGUAGUUCUGGGCUAUCGCAGUCACAGAGAAAAUACCACUUGGGAUAAAUUGAAAACCAGUUCUUGUGAAAGACAAGUUUCAUGCACUGAAUGGUUCCCAACUUUCAAAGGAAAUAAAAGAUCAUACAACCUUAUGAGCGGCUUCCCCAGGAGGGCAAGAAGAGGUUCUUAUUUAUUAAAGAUGCAAAUGAAAUCUUGAUUCAGAGGACCUCUGUAAAGCACUGAAGAAUCUAUCACAAGUCAUAAAAGGAAGAAAAUUUUACAAAAAUAGUCCUUAGAACACAAUAAUAUAUAGAAUCAACUAUAUAAAUGAAAGUCACGCACCACAAUUUUGCUAGAUUGUAUUUUAUCCUCUUUUAGUCGUACUAAAAAAUGGUAAUAAAGUGCCAAUGAGCCUUUGAUAUAGGAUGAACAUUCCAAUCAGUUAGCACAAUGAAAAGACCACAUGACCUCCUGUGAUACUUUGCACCCAUCCUUUUGACACCUGCAUCAUCAAUGUAAACAAUUUGGUACAUAAAACUGUAAGACUUAUUAUUACCGUUCAGAGGUAGCCGAGUUAAAUGGCAACAAAUUGCAAAUAUAUGUAUGGGAAAUAGAAAGUGAUAUUGAGGAGAGAAAGAGGAAGAAUUGCAUGUUGGGAAUGAGCAUCCAGUGGACAAGAAGAAAAUUCAAGAAAAUUAGUCAUCAAAAUAGAAAAAUAAAUAAACAAAAUAUAUAGAUGACGGUGACUCACUGUAGUCUUGCUGGGUUAUUCUUUGUCCCCUGUUGACACUCAAAAAAAAUAAAAAAAAGAGCAACAGGGGACAACUGGAACUAGCUGCAUUCACUCCAUACUUUGAAGUCUUUGAUAUAAUACCUAGAGUUCCAUCCUCUUUGAGAACCUGCAUCAUAAAUGUAAAAAUUUAAUAACCAGAUGACAAGACACUGGAUAGUAGCUAUGAUGACAUCUAAUAAGUUGAACUAAAAAAAUCAUGGCUGCACAGGGGAAUUGAUAAAGCCAUCUAAUUACCAUAGCAAUCGAACUUUAAUAAACUGCAUUUGCUUCUAGUAUAGCCUCCUCUGUAUGUCAGCCUGAACUCUAUUCUGGAAAUCAGAAAAUUAUACUUAAAAAAUGCAAUUGAAUAGUACAACUGAUGGAAUAAAAAUCAGAAGACAUUGCUAACCAGUGGCUAUUGCUAAAUAUUCCACCUGCCCUUGAAUGGCAUAAAUGGAUCCUCUCUUAUCCUUUUUAUCGUUGUAAGUAUCACAUAUCACCUCUUCAACUUCAAUGGUCACUGAGAACUAAAAAGAACAAAGGAAAAAGGAAAAGUGUGUACCCCAUGGAGAUUAUGGACAAGAUUUACUAAAUAGAAUUGGAGAGGCAGAGGCAGUGAUGCAUACCUAGAAUUGUGUCAAAUUGAAGAGAAAACCAAGCUACAAGCCAUUUCAAAAGCCACUUCCUAGGCAAAUUUUUAACAAAAAGUCUAGUAAGAAACGUACAAGUAAUCAAUUGGGGAAAUUGCUAUAAUGUAUAUGAGAGAUUGAACGCGGUAUUGAGGAGUGAAAGAUAAAGAACAGGCGUACCUUGUUUAAUGUAAAGAUGGGAGAGGGUUGAAUGGUGUUUGCUUCUAUGUUCUGCAAUCCCUCAACUUAUUAUUGCUCAAAGACGUUUUUAUCAUCUAUUUCCACAUAGGGAAUGUGGGCGAUGUUGGGCCAAUCUUGCCCUUUCCCUUUCGAGCACCUUUGUUUUAGGAGCGGGCAGUCUGUGAUAUAUAGUCGUGAAAGCGUGUCAGGCAGCCCUUCCCUUGGGCAAAACGACUGAAGCUUAGGGCAACGUUGGAUCCAUAGAUCUUCAAGUGAGGUGAGGGUUUGGAGAGCCAGGGAGGAUAGAGAUUUCAGAUUCUGGAAAUCUUGAAUGGAAAGAAAGGUGAGGGUUGUAGGAAGAAUCGGUGGUCUUUGACCAUCUGAAAAGGAGGCAACUCGUGGAAAUAUGCCACCAAUGGUGAGUUCUUUAAGAGAGGUAAGUGUGGCAAGGCCCCAUCGGGAUAGGGGCAUCUUGAUAUUCUCACAACGGUAGAUACCAAGUGAUGUAAGAGCAGUGAGGUUUUGCAGUUGAUGAGGUAGCAGCUCCACAUUCUCACAAUUAUUAAUCUCCAGUUCUCUGAGUUUGUAGAGGCAAUCUGGUACAAUUUUGAGACAGGGAUACGACCGGAUACUCAAAUAUUCAAGUGAACUAUUAUUGGAGUGAAACGUCUCCUUUGAAAUCGACUCCAGUUGUGCACAAUCCCAAAUCUCAAGUUUCUUAAGGGUGGAGGGAAACUUGCCUGUGGGGAAGAAUGUGAGAGAUGGACAUUUCCAAAUGUCCAAGACAUGAAGACCACCACUGGUGGCGGUGGUGGUGUUGGAAUCAUGGUGCAUCAUUCCCCCCGGUAGAGACUCUAGCUUUUCACACCUCCAUAUCUUGAGUUCCUUGAGCGUGGUGGGUAACUCACCUUCUGGAAAACCAAUGAGAGAUGGACACGUAUGUAUGUGCAAGUAUUCAAGGAGACACACGUCGCUACCGUUAUUACUACCGUCUUUCAUCACCAUCAUCCAAUCAGGUAGACAUCGUAGACCUUCACAACUAUGAAUAACAAGACGUCUAAGCAUGGGCGGGAACCCCAACUCUGGAAAUGACACCAGCUUUGGACAAUCAUAGAUUUCCAACUCUCCAAGACAUGUUAGCCUGUACAGUCCAUUGGGAAGCUUCUCUAGGUUAUUACACCACCUAAUUUUCAAAGAUUGAAGCUUGCUAGGCAGCUCGUGCUUUUCCUUUUCUCCCAAGGAUACAAGCUCGGGACAACUGCUAGUUUGCAACUGCUGAAUACCAUCAAAUCCAUUUUCCCACAAACACGUCAAUUUAUCACAUCUAUCAAUGUCUAAAACUUGAAGCCCCGACAACAAUUGCAUACAACCUUCAUGUAAUCUGGUGAGCCCUACCAUUCUAUCAAUUCCUAACUCGGUGAGUGAAGGCAAUUCCAAUCCACUCCUUAGUACCGCCUCAUUGCAAUCUUGUACUCUUAAUUUAGAAAGAGAUGGAAGCCUUUCAAGUGGAGACACCAACUGUGGGCAUGUCCCAAUGGAGAAAUGUACAAGGGACGGUAGGUUAGUGGGUAGUUUCUUGAUUAAUUUGGGGCAAUUUAUGAUUUCAAGGUGAAGGAGACAAGGAUAUGGCUCUGAUAAAGAUGGACUCUCCCAAUCUUCCCAUUGUGACAUAGCCGAAAAAGAUAGAGACUCUAAGGACGGGAAAGGCUUAUUGGGAAGACAAGUCUCUCCAUAAAACUCUCUACCCACAAUUUUUACUUCUUUUAACCCUUCAAUCCUUACGUGUUUGAGCAUGGGUAACCACCCCAAACACGGUAAAGAUGUGCAAUUUCUGCAAUUCACCAGAUUUACAUCCACCAUCUUCGAGAAUGAAACAUCUCCUAUCCAAGGGGGAAAUUCUGGACCACCAUAAUACUCAAUUUUUAGUUUGUUCAAAUUGAAGUGUGGCUGUAAAGAGUCAAGUACAUCUUUUUGAUUCCUUGCAUUGUGUGAAUCAUUCAACCCAGCACUCCACUCUAUCGUCAAUUCUUCAAGCUUCUGCUUCUUGUUUAGACUAGCAUCCCUUGCAUCUUGAACAUUUGCUACAUUUUCCAACUUUGAAAUGCAAAGUCCCCCUUGAAGUUGGGGCAUAUUCCUUAACUCCUUUACAUUCAAACCAUUGUCUUUACCCACAAUAAAAUUAGACAAUACUUGUAAGCCUUUUAAUUUGCAAAUUCGUGGAGGCAUUUCUUCUAGAUUUGUAUUGGUCACAUCAAGGUGUCGAAGAUUAUUUAGGUUUCCAAUGCUCAAAGGCAACCUAAUAAGCUUCCGACAAUUUGAUAAUAUUAAUGUCUCUAAGUUAUGGAGGUUACCCAGUGAAUCAGGUAAUCGUUUGACUUUUGUUCUGGAUAAAUUAAGAUACCUAAGGUGUUUCAAAUCACCAACUGAACUUGGUAUCUCACUUAUCCGAUAACCACUCAAUAAAAGCACCCUUAGGCGUCGUAGCUUGGGCAUCAAUCCCUCAAGUACCUUGUUGCUUAACCAAUUAUAAUCCCAUAAUGGAUCAAUUGGUAAUGCAAUAAACGUACGCAAAUUCUCCAUCCCAUAAAAGGCUUCAAACUUUUUGAAGAUAUCGUAUCGGUCACGAAUGAAUGAUGAAUGACGAGCCUUUUUAGAAAUAGUCUGCUGCUGAUUACCUUCCAAAUUCUUUUCCAGAGAAAAACAUAUUUCUCCACCAACAAAUUUUGCUAAAUCGUUAACGAGAUCAUGCAUUACGAAUUGGGAUUUAUUGCUACUUGAUGGUUGAAAAAAUGAUCGAGACAACAAUUCCUGGAAGUAGUUAGCGCCUAAAUCUUCAAUUUCGAUUUGUUGCCUAUGACAUUCUAAGUGUUGAAUUAGACUCUCUGCCAUCCAUAAGCGAAUCAGUUCUCUCUUAUCAAAUUCAUAGUCUUUCGGAAAUAUUGCACAAUAACUGAAACAUCUCUUCAGUGGAGAGGGGAGGUGAUUAUAACUUAAUCUUAAUGCAGGAAGAAUACCGCAUUUAUCACUCGGUAAAUCCCAUAUUUUGCUAGUCAAAAUAACAUUCCACUCAUGUUCUCUCUGUUCAUGGCGUAGAAGACUACCGAGUGCUGUUGCUGCCAAAGGCAAGCCUCCACACUUUUUUACAAUUUCCUUGCCGAUCAAUGCCAAAUUGGAAUGCUCAUCAAUGUUGCUAUUUCCAAAUGCAUGUUUCUUGAACACCGACCAACACUCAUUAUCUGAUAAAUUUUGUAGCUCGUGCAAGUUCUUAUCUCCUUCCAUUAUAUUUGCGACCUUCUUACUCCGUGUCGUGACUAUGAUUUUGCUGCCUCGUGAACCCGACAAAAAGGGAGACUGUAAGCAACGCCAAUCAUUAUAGUUGUCAUUCCACAUAUCAUCGAGAACCAGAAGAAAUUUUUUUCCCUUCAAUUCCUCCCCCAAUUUAUCUUGAAUUUGAUGGAAGUCUAGUGAAUCAGUAUUGCUCUGAGAAGUACUGACCGAGUUGAGGAUUGUCUUGGUUAUUCUCACUGCAUCGAACUGAUCUGAUACACAAACCCAGGCCUUUAGAUCAAAAUGCUUGGCUGUCUCAGGAUGAUCGUACACCAACCUUGCUAGUGUGGUCUUGCCCAUACCACCCAUGGCCACGAUGGAAACUACAGAAACAUUGGUUUCAAUGGGCUCAUCCCUAAGCAGCAUAUCCAUUAUAAUCUGUUUAUCAGCAUCCCUGCCAUAAACCCAAGGUUCGUAUACCAGAGAUGUAGUGAGUGGCCUUUCCCAAGUAGACUGGGUUAUAGCAGCCACCUUGUCCAAACCAAGCCCAGCCUUUUGGGCAUAUAUAGCUUCUAAUCGGGUGGUAAUGUCCUUUAUCUCGCACCCCAUCUUAACAUUACGCAUACAACCAAUAGGAGUGAAAGUAGUACAACAAGUAGGGAUAAACUUGCGUACCUUGCUUGUGCUGCCUUCACCAUCAGCUUCCGCCAUCACCUUUCUUCUUAAAGCUUCGUAGGCAAACUCGUCCAAGAUGUCCUCCAUGUCAUAAACCAAAUCCCUCAGAUCGCCCAGCCACGUUUUCACCGACUGCUUCGUGAUCUGCUUCUCCUCCGCGUCAUUCAGCACUUCAUCAAUCUCCAAUAAUUUUUUCUCCCAUAUUUCGAGCUCGGCGCGGAUUUUCUCUUGGCGUGCAAACUUGAGAUCAGGGGAGCGCAGUUGGUUAAACAAAGCUUGAAGGGAGUAAGAAAGAACAACCUCUGCAACAACUUCCAUGGUUCGUUGGUAGGGAAAGAGAGAGGUAGGAUACCAAGUGGAAACAAGAGAAUAAAAAACAAUUGGUUUGCUCUAUCAAGGCUUCCCCAAUUAUCAAAGACAGUGGACUCUGCUCCUUCAGAGUGGUGGGGCUCACACGUAAAGAAGAAGAAACUAAGGGAAAAGAAGGAAUCCAAGGCAACUGGUGCUAAGUGGAGCCAUUGGAGAGAUAAUUAUUCAAGUCUUGGACCACUCUCCAAUUUCCCACUACACUGGUUUUAGGGGUGGGUGACAUACUCACAUGAAGUGACAGAAAGCAGGGCCCUCUAAUUCAAAGUUUAUUUUACUAUUAAAUAAAUAAAUAAAAAAGUCAUUUUCUUAAAACCCUUCUACAAUUUUCUGACAAAGCAAAUGACUUCUGUAAGCAGGAUACCAUUCUUGUGAAUGGGAAAAGGAAGAAGGUUGAAGGAAGAAGAGUAAACAAGUUUUCCCUUUAUUUUAUAUAGAUUGGUGAUUAGGCUGAAGUAGAGAUACCUUGCUACCUCGCUGCAUCUUCAAACGAUAAUGUUGAUUAAAGAUGAAUUGAAAGCCAUGCUUUGCCUGCGAAGUUUGAUUAGAGAGGAAUCUCUAAAUCAAAUUUUGUGAAACAAUUGGUUUGCUUGCUGUAUCAAGGCUUAGCCAAUUAUCAAAGACUGAAGGUAAGAGAUAAGGAGUUGAAGGCAACAGCUGGCAAGCUGGCAAGUGGAUCCAUUGGACAUGAUUUGAUUAUUCAAGUCUUGGACCACCCUGCAAUUUUCCACACCGCACUGGGUGGUGGGUCAGAGAGUUAAGGAUAACGUCAGAAAACCAAACAUGAAGCGACGGAAAGCAGGGCCCCUGUACGAAAAUAUUACUCUGCAACAAUCAAAAUAAUCAAAGAAUCAUGCAUUGAAAAAUUGCAAGCUAAUGUUGUUAAAUUUUAAAAAAUAUGAAUUCAGAAAUUAUUUGUAAAUAUUUAGAAAUUGCUAAUGUUGGCUUUAGUUCAAUUUCACAAAAAUAGAAUCAUGCAUUGAAAAAUUGAUUUGAAGUUGAAGUUUUACAAUUUCCUUAUUUAUUUUCUAGGAGUUCAUAUAGGAAUAAGUUACAAAUACAUGGGAGGAACUUACAAAGAUGUAAACAAGUAAUUAGGUUAAGGACUCCACUUCCAAGCAGGCCAUGUGCUUUUAAGGAUAGAAAAAAAAUUGUUUAACACAUUAAUAAGAACAAAUAAUUUAAUGUUUAAGAAUAUUAAAAUAUGAAUAAAAAUAAACAAUUUAAUCUUAGCCAGAUUGUGUUCUAUUUAAAAUUCAAUAAAAAUCUAUUUAAAUUUAAGAUAGAGAAACAAACUAGAUAUAAUUUUUUCACUUCUUAUAUUUUAAAAUAUUUUUUAAUUAAGCAUUCUUAAUAAUAUUUUUAUUUCUUAUAAAAAAAGUUAUAAUUAUUUCAUGGAUGAUUAUUAACUUUUUUUUUUAAGAGAAAGAUAUAUCGUUGAAAUAGUUUUUAAGAAAAGACAAUGAAAUAGAAUCUGAAAGUUGAAUUAUUGAAAAUAUUGUAACCUCUAAAGAUAAAAUGAAAAUACUAAAACAUUGAGUGAUGAAAUUUAGGUUAUUGAAUAAAAAUAUAAAUAAAUUAGAUCAAAAUAUAAAAAUACAAAUAAUCGAGACAUAUGUGAUGCGUGAGACAUGCUAAAUAAAAAAUUUUGCUCCCACAAUUUCUAUAAUAUUAAAAGAAAGUCAAUUUUUUAAUAAUCUCUUUCCAUCUUUUGGUACACGCAAUAGAAUAAAAUAUAACCAUAAUUCUAUACAUUUCUUUCACGGGAAAAAAAGAAGGAAAAAACUUGGGGUGCUGGCACAUUGGGUGUCCACAAGUGGACCUUGUAUUCAAUUAUUGGUAAGAGAUGGCCCGGAUAGGUGGCAAUUAUUGGGGCUCUUUUACUUAAUAGAAUAGAUUUAUAAAAUAAUUUUAAAAAUGACUUCAAAAAGUAUAUUGAAGUCUAUGAUAAUUGUUAAAUGUUGUCGAUUUGAUUUUACUUCUAAUAAGAAAUCUUUUUUAUUUUAGUAUGGAAACUUUUUAAAACAGUGAUUUACUUCCAUUGAUUUAAUGAUAUUAUUAAAUUAAAUUUAAAAAGAUUUGUUAAAAGUAAGUUUUUUUAUUAAGGUAGAGUUGGAUUCGAAGUUUUAAAAUUAAGUUAAAAUAUCUUAAUUAAUUUUUGACAAUUUUGAGGUUUUAUUUUAAAAAAAUUUCUUAAUUAAUUUAUAGAAAAUUAAUAUUUUACUUUUUAAACAAAAAUUAUUUUGUUAAUUAAUUUUUGAAAAUUUGAUUUUUUUUUUUUAAGAAAUUCAAUUUCAAACCAUCUAGGCUCUUAGGCCUAUAUAUAUUAUCUAAAUGUGUUUUUGGGUUGGAUGCUUUAAUAAAAUUAACCUCAACUUGCUCUAUCAUUCAUAAACUCUCAACAAAGAAUUCACUAAUCAAAUCCCAUAGUUUUUUAUUUCCAUAAUUAAUAUGAUGAUUUUCCACAUAAAAUUGAUUGUCUUGUAUGUAAUUGUGAUUUUAUUAUUUAUAUGGAUAUGUGAAAUUGACAAUAUUGCCCCUAGCCUCAAGCAUAGGGUGUUACAAACAUCCUUAUUUAUCGACUCUCAACAUGAUUAUACUUUUCAUAGUAACUUAGCAUGAAAAUCUUUCAAUUGUCAUAUUCUAACAUUAUCUAUAAGUUUCUUGAGUAUUGAAAUUGACAAUGCUUUUGUGAAUAAGUUUGUUAAAUUAUCAUUUGAUACUUUCUGAAUACUAAUUUUAUUACUCUUGUGGAGUUUAUGAAUAUAAAAGAACUUGAAUGAUAUAUGGUUACUUUAGUUUGAGUUUUCCUCUUUUUAUCAUUAUGGCCUAUAUGAUUCUUAUUGAUCUAAAAAUUAAAUUUAAAAAAUUAGGCAAGAGAUUAACCUACUUACAAUUUAUUAAGCCUGAGUCACUAAAAUUAGUCAAUUAAAUUAGUUUGUUAUCUUUUUCUUUUUAUAAUAAUAGUUGGCAAGGUUCUUAUCUAUAUCAAGAUUAACUUAACUAUUAGGUAAGGCUUAAGAGAACUUACUUGCAAUUAUUAAAUUUGAGUUAAUAAAAUUAAUCAAUAGAAUUAACUCGUCGUCUUUUUGUUUUUAUAAUUGUGGCCGACUUAGUUCUUAUCAAUAUGAAGAUUAAAUUAAAAGAUUAGGUAACGGCACCCACUUGCAAUUUAUUAAACUCGAUUAAGCAAAAGUAGCUUCACUUAUUUCUCUUUUUAUGAUUAUGGUCAGCAAGGUUCUCAUCAACAUCAAGAUUAAUUUAAAAGAUUAUGUAAGGGAACCUAUUUGCAACUUGUUAAAUUUGACUCAUUCAAAAGGUUAGUCAAGCAAAUACACUUGCAAUAAUUUACAAUCAAAAUCCACUUUAAAAUAAUAAAUAUAAGCUAUCUUUUUUUGGUUGCAUUGAACUUAUUGAUAAUUAGAUUUAAACAUAAUUAAUAUAAUUAUUUAAGUAUUAAUUAAGUUUUCAAAACUAAUUAAAAUUUAAACAUCACUAAUUAAAUGAAAUAGUAUAAAAUUUAAUUAAUUAUUAUAUAUAUAAAAUAAACUUUAAUUAUCUAAUUAAAAUUAUUAAAUACUUAAGUAUUACCAUGCCUAAGAAUUAAAAGAACUUUUCAUUUUUUCAAGGCAUAAAAAAAUAACAAAGGAAAAAUCUUGAUUCAAAUAAAUAAAUAAUUCCAUGGAAAAUAUAGAAAUGAAAAUAAUAUUUAUAUUGUGUAAUACUAUAUUGCAGUAGUCUACAAUUUAUCAGUCUUAUUUGGAUUGAUUUUUAAGAAGUCAAAAGUUCUUUUAUAAGCUCAAGAAGGACUUCUAUGUCUCUUUAAUUAAUUUUAUUUGAAUGGCUAAUGGUUUAAAAAGAAGAUAUGAAAACUACAUAUAUUUUUUUUUAUACUUUUUAUAAAGGUGCAUAGCACCUCAUGCUAAUAAUUUUGUAUAACAAAAUAAAUAUUUCAAAGGCACCUCCAAUUACCUAGAAAAUGAAUUUUCAAUUUAUCAAAUACUUAAUUUUUGUAACAAAGAUGUUUUUGAGCAUUAUCGAACAUUUCUAACUUUUCUAAAAUCAUGACCAAAUGACUCAUAAUCUUUUCGAAUACUAAAACAUUCAUCAAAUUAUUUUGUUAUGAGCUUUUUAUUUUAAUUAAAAGGUUAAAAUAAACACUAACUUUAUUAAUUUUAUGUUCCAAAAUAAGUUUCUUUGAAAGCUUGUAAUGUAAAUUGAUUAAUGAAUUUCAGUUAUGAAUGAUCUCGGGGAGUUUGAAUUAGAAAUUUUGAGAUAACACUUUUUUUUAAUUGUUUAUGAUUAAAUAUGUAUCAAAUAAACGUACAAAACUGAAAAGACUUUAGAGGGUGAUGAUAAAUCAAUUUAAUGACUUAAUUUAAGUUAUUAAAUAUAUUAAGCAUGUUUGAUAAAAUAAUAAAGUUAAAAAUGAUUAUGAGAAAUCAUCUUAACAAUUAAGACUCCAUGACUUAAAUACAAUUAAUUUAACUUAAAGUCAUCUUACCCCGAUAAAUAUCAAGUUUUACCAAAAUUGUUGUUAAUGAUCUCAAUAAUUUUUUAUUUUCUUUCUAAAUAAAAUUAUUUUCAUUUAUUUAUUAAUGGAUUAUGGAGAAUAACCAUCCUCUCCCCAUCCUCUUUUUAAAUUGCAUACCAAAAGUUAGAUAGAGAUUCAAAAAGGAUCCAUAAAUGCAAGUGAUGGAAGGAGCAAUUAAUUUGUUUUAUUAUUCACCAUUUUUCAAAUUCCAUUUUCUGUGAAUACCCCUCCUACCUAAAUGACUUUUAAACAAAAACUUUGAUCAUGUUUUCUAUGCUUGUUUUUAAAAAUUAUUUUUAGUGUUUUAUAGAAAUAAAGGUGUUUGACAAAUUAUUUUUUAAACCAGUUUUUAAAAAUAAAAAAUAAAAAUUUUGUUUGAAUAAAUUAUUUAAUUUUUUUUUUAUUUUGUAAAAAUAUUAUAAAUUCAAUUUAUAUAACGUGAAUUAAACAAAAAUCUUUUUAUUACGUUUCCUUCCUUAGGUUAUAUUUGGUUUUCAAAAUUUUGAAGGAAAGAACAUAAAUAAAAAAUAAACUUUGCUGUAGUAAAUUUUCUCUUCCUUUUAAUUAAAAAAAAUAUUAAGAAAUCAAAAUCUUAGCUGGAUCAUUGGAGUCAGCGUGGGACUUCCAGGCUGGCCCGUGUGCAUGCCAUUAUUUAUUUAUUUUUGUAAUUUCAAAGCAUAUUAUUUUUAUUUUCAAUAUUUUAAGACUGGCGCAUUUUUCAAGCUUAAGAUUCUCUUUAUAAUUAUGGACCUAUGGUUGUUGGUUGUAUCAAGAUUAAUUUAAAUGUUAGAUAAGACUUAACACAAUUUACUAGCAAUUUAUUAAAUUUGAUUUGAUAAAAUUAGACAAUAGAAUUAGCCUGUCAUCUUUUUCAUUUUAUAAUUAUGGCCGGCUUGGUUCUUAUAAAUAUGAAGAUUAAAUUAAAAGAUUAGGUAAUGACACCCACUUACAAUUCAUUAAACUCGAUUUAGUAAAACUAGCUUAUAAAAUUAGCUUGACUUUUUUGUUUUUUAUAAUUAUGGUCGACAAGCUUUUUCUCAAUUUGGGAUGACAAUAAGACGAUUUUUUUUUUACCUAUCUCUAAUAAGACAAAUUUGAAAUUUAAAUAAAUCAAUUAGGAGUGGAUUUGAGAAUUUUUUUUAAAAAAACCUAAGGCAAGUUUGGGAUGAGUUUGAGUAUUACCUAGUCCUGCCAACCCUACCUUGAUUAUACAUAAAAUUAAUUUAAUUUAACUUUUAUUUUCCUAUUUUUAAUAAAAUAAGUUAUAAAAAAUUAUAAUAUUUUAAUCAUUUAUAAAAUAUGUUUAUUUUGAUAUAAUUUAAUUUUUUUAAAAAAAUUAUUAUUAUCAUUUUUUUUUAAGUUAAAGCCAAGGUAUAGAAAAUUUGUAUACCCAUCCUGCCCUACCUCAUCCCAUUUAAUUUUUUUAAUAGGACGACUGACGAGUAUGAAAAUUAUUUUGAAUAAAUGAAAUAGGAGUGGAAUGAGUGCAACCCAUCCCCAACUUGCACUGUUGUCUUCUCCAACGUCAAGAUUAAUUUAAUAAAAGAUUAGGUAAGGGAAUCUAGUUUCAACUUAUUAAAUUCAAUUAAUUUAAAAGGUUAGUCAAGCAAAUCCACUUGCAAAAAUUUAAAAUCGAAAUCCACUUCAAAAUAAUAAUGAUGAGCCAUUUUUUUUCUUCUUGCAUUGAAUUUAUUGCUAAUUGGACUUAAAUAUAAAUAAAACUAAUUAAAAUUUAAAUACCACUCAAUAAAUAAUAUAAUAAAAUAUAAUUAUCUAAUUAAAAUUAAUAAAUACUUAAAUUAGGUUGGAGUUAUUUGGCCUCACCCAAAGUUCAAUUCGAGGUGGAUUUUUUAAUCUACGCAUAAUUUAAAUUGUAAAAGAGGCCAUCCAAGUCUUUUCAAAUUCAUUUAAAUUGUAAAAGAGGUCAUCCAAGUCUUUUCAAAUUCUUAUUGAGUUUGAAUUUCGUUAUGUUGAAACUUCCCAAAUUUGAUUACUAAUUUAAUCCAUGAUAAAUUAAAGUGAUGGUUUAAAAGAAUGAAAUAAAAUUUGAACAUUUGUCGAGAGAUGGACCGUCUUUAGUAUUAGUAAUUGGCUUCUGAUAGAUUUGCAAGGAUGUAGCACAACUACAAGGCUUGGUGCGAUGGGGAGUGUCUGGUGGUCAAGAGUGCAUACAUGAUCCCAACUUACUGUUUAAACUAGGCAAAAAAGUUGUCAUAGGAUGAUAUCUAACUGUAAAUUUACCAACAACAAAUAAUUGAUUUCGAAAUUAGGACUCCCAAGGGUGUUCUCGUUGAGUGGUUAUGCAAUAAAUGAGACACCAAAUUCAUUCUAUGGUUUAAAACAUUUGAUUCAAGAGAUGAUCAUUUAUUAUAAUCUUCAAAUGUUGAUACAAUCAAGUUAUAAACAUUUUACCAAGAUACCUAUUAACUUCGGGAAUCUAAUUAACCUUUGAUAUCUUGAUAUUAUUGUUACAAGUCUAUUAGAAGAAAUGUCUUUAGAAAUUGACAAACUAAAAGAUUUGUAAAUACCGUCUAAUAUCAAUCCCGGAUUGGAUGGGGAGAAAGGUUCAUGAUAUAUGUAGUGAGAUUCUCUUAAUUAUUAUGUUGAUGAAUUUUGAGCCGAGUGUUUUGCCCUAGAGACACCAUCUGAAUGGGCCCUUUUGUCCCAAAGACAACAUCUACAUGGAAAGGAGCAGUCGUUAAUUCAAGGAAAAAUCUUUCCACCUGAAUCUAAACUUUUCCAGAUGCUCGCUCUACAGCAGGUUUGGAUAGCCCAACUGAUUGAGUAGCCUAUCCCAAGAAGUCAAAAUAUGAAGUUUUGUUGAUUUGAAUCCAUUAUUUGGUCCUAAGUCGCUGAAUCUUUCUGAAUUUUCCACAGUAAUCAUUCCAAAUAUCCCAAAAUUUUAGUUCAUUUGGCUGAACUGCUAGGGAGUGAUAAUGACAAAAAACUUUAAUUUGAUUUAGGAGGGUCACCUGUAUCUCAAUUCAUAGAUUCUAAAGAAUGGAUUACUUAACAAGAAGCAAACCCAUCAGAAAUGCUUAACCCUCGAAUCUUACUACGAGAAAAUGGAACAUAAACAGCAAUGACCAAACGCUCAUUUUCAGAUAAUCAACGAAGCUAAAACCGAAGAAAAAUCAAACCAAUUCUUGAAAAAACAAAGCAAUAAGAGCUCUUCAAACUAUCAAAUUUCUAUAAACGCAGUAAAAAUAAAUAAAAAAAAUCCACAACUGCAACUAACUAGCUGAAAAGAAUAGUCCUUGAAAUUACCCUUUCAAUGGAUGACUCAGAGGAACGAACAAACCGGACAACUGGGCUGGCCUUGGGGUCAGGGAGGGCAUAGUUGAAGGUGGAAUUGAGGGGUCUAGAGGACUCAACCGGGGGCUUUGAUGGUGGGUUCGAAGACAAGAUGGUUUCAGUAGGAGGAGAUGGUGGCGGCGGCGGCGGUGAUGAUUCAUGAGAUGAUGAGCUCACGGAAGCGAGACAAGGCGAAAAUCGCCUGUGAUUUGUGGGAGGACGAAGACGAGACAGGGAGAGCGACAGUGGAGUGUAGGACAUUGCAGCGAAGAGGGCCAUCGCAGAGGGAACUGAGAGAGGAAAGGACAAAACAAAAUGAAGAAAGCGUGGUGUGAGCCUGUGAGGAGUCUGAGGACUGACAUAGUGACAUAUGAGGUCAAUGUUUUGUGUGUGUGGAGCCCACGGUUGCUCAUCACGCGGGUAAAUUAACGGUCUGGUUUAAUCGCAUAGCUCACAAUUCUGAGUCCGAAAAUCAUUUUAAAUACUUUCUUAUUUAUUAUGCUCGUAUAUAAAAAACAAAAUAUAUCAAUUAUAAAUUUCACAAAUUAAUUUUUUUAACCGUUGAUUUGGUUAAUAAAUAUAUAUAAUAAAAUUAUACUCUUUCUCGUAAUUAUUUCCAUAUAUAUAUAUAUAUUUCUUGGGUCAGAUUUUCUUAAGAUUAAUUUUGAUGAUUAUGGAGCAAAAAAUUAAAUUUUAGGAGGAUUUAUUCUCAGUAGAAAGGAUUACUUGGAGGAUAAUGUUGAAGGUCUAGGAGCCGAAUAAUCUAAGUAUGAGGAGUUUAAGGUUAUGUUUAGUUCCUUAAAGUUAUUAAGGAAAAAAUAAAUAAAUAUUAAGUAAAUAAAAAAUAUUAAAAAAAAUAAAUUUCUUGUAUUUAAUUUUAUAAUAAAAAAAUCAAACAUAAUUAAAAUGGUAAAAAAUUUAUAUAUUUUUAAAUUGUUAAUCCUUAUAUAAUAAAUGAAAAUAAUUAAAAAAAAUUAUUUUAUUUUAUUUUAUUUACUUUCCAUCACUUUUUUCUUUGAAAUAGUGAAUGAAAAAAUAAAAUUAAAGUUAAUAAAUUAAAUUAAUUUAAUUUGUUAUUUCAAACUUAUUUUAAAUUUUUAUAUAAAGAUAAAAUAAUUUAAAAAUGUAUAGAUUUUUAACCAAUUUUAAUUAUAUUUGAUUUUUUUUUAUUUUUCAUAUUAUAACAUAAUAUGAAAAAAUCACUUUCCUCGUUAUUUUUUUCUUUAUUACUUUUUGAAACAAAUAUAACCUAAGAGUAUGUUUGGUUUCUGAAAAUUUAAGAGAAAAUGUUAAGGAAAGAUAAAACAAAAGAAAAUAAAAAAAUAAAUUCAAAGUCAAUAAUUAUUUUAUAUAUUUUUUAAAAUUCAUUUAACUUAUUUUCCUCUAUUAUGUAAAGAUUAAAUAAAUUUAAAAUACAUCAACUUUUAACUAAUUUAAGUAAUACUUGAUUUUCUUUCGUAUUUUCUAUAUUAAAAUUAAAUAGAAUAAAAUCAUUUUUCUCAACAUUUUUUUUGCCUUAGCAUUUUCCUAAAAUCAAAUAAAACAUAAAAGUUUUGAAUUGAAAGCGUAUGUCAUUGUAUAAUUUUAUUGAUUGGUUGGAUCCUUACUAGGGAAUGAAGUCGUUUUUUGUUUUUUGUAUAUAUUUUGUGUGCUUUUUCUAUGCUAUUGAUAUGCGCUUGGAGAUUUUAAUAAUAUAUAUAUAUAUAUAUAUAUAUAUAUAUAUAUAUAUAUAUAUAUAUAUAUAUAUAUAUAUUUAUAUAUUUUUCUUAACUUCUUAUUUUUAUUUUUAAUGUGAAAGCACUUUUAGAUUUAGCAUGCCCAUAUUAUUAGUUGUAAACAAAUGAUAGAAUUGAAAAGAAUGGUUUGGGCUUUGUUCUCAGAAGAAACAAUGAUGGUAUUAUAAGUAGAGAAAAGGCUACAAAUUAUAGAUGGGAGAUCCUCUCAAUUAGAAGAUGUUAUGAGAGGAAGGUAAAAGAAAGAAUGACAAUAACAAAAAAUAGACACCAACCCAAGGCCCACAGCACAAAUAUCCAAGUCCACCACUGAAACACAAAACAAGGGUGAAGGUGAAGACAAGAUGGAAGGCAUUUGGCUUCAAGGGGAGAUAUGAUCUAUUGGCGAACCUAUCAGCUUCCUGAUCGGUUGCUCUAGACUUUCAACAGAAGGAGCAUCUCAUGUCUCUAGACAGCUUCUCUAUCCUUUUCAACCAAUGGUUAUGUCUCCAUAAACAACCCUUCUUUUAUUUGUGGCAGGUCGAUUUUACAUCUCAAACUUGCAUGGCAUAUUGCUGUUGAAUUGAAACCCACUAAAUUUAUUUUGGCAUUAUGGUCAUCCCCCUCUUAUGUGCUAACUUAUUUCAUUUUCUGCCAGGUUUAGCCCUGAAGCUCUAAACUGGCUGUUCAUCAAGGGAUUGGUUGGCUGGUUUUUGCAAGUCUCACUGCUGAAAGUAUCAUUGCUUUCAUUGGAUAGUGGGGAGGCACCUUUUCUGGACAUUGUGGCAUAGCAGCGUACACUUUCACAGGGAUGUGCUUGGCUGUCCUUGGGAGGGAUCAUGUGGAGCAUCUCAUAUUAUUUCUUGAUGCCCUGGGCAUGCCUAUGCAUGGGAAUAUUCUUGGUAAAGACCAUGAAGAGAAUCCUCUUUGCAGAGGUGAGGAGUUAUGUUUCCAGCAAGCAUCACUAUCUCUUGCUCCUUAUUGCUUUGGCUCAGUUCCCACUUUUCAUAUGGCUUGGCAACAUUAGCCUUCAUUAGCUUUUCUGAACUUCAUCUUUUGAUAAAUGUAUCCGGAAACAAUUUGCUUCUGUGGAAGUCUUAAAAUGUUGUAGUUUUGGUCUAUGAUCUCGGCCAAGUGACCAUUCUCCUGGACUAGAAAUAUUCUUUAAACUUAUGCUAAAGCUUAAAUAUGAUUCAAUUGUUCUCCUAGUUAAAACAGAAACCAAGCACUUGGCUUCCUUGUUCAGAAUUAUUUAUCCUUUUUUUCCCAAUUGAUUGGAAAUGAACUAGUUUAGCACUUGUACUUUGACAUGUUCACUUCAAGCAACUGUAGUUAAUAAAACAAUUGAGCAUGAACUGGAGUUGCCGAUGGAAUCCUGAAAGUGGAUGACAUAAAUUACUUGGUGCCUUCUUCUGGUACAUGAUACUCCUGAACUGAAUGUCAGCAUGGUAUUCAUGAAUCAAGUUUCAAAACAAUUGAGCUCAUAUAGAUCUUGCAUAACUGGAAAUCAAAGUGAAUCUCAUGUUGUUUUUGAUGGGUUUAGAAUAAAAUCAAUGACAUCACUAUGGCCUUUGUCAAUGACUUGGUUUUAAACUCUGGUUCAAAACAUCCACUGCAAUGGGAAAAUGACCUUAACAUCCAGUGAUGACUUCGUUUUAGACUCUGGUUCAAAACAUCCACUGCUAUGAGAUAAUGGCCAUAACAUCUGAUGGACCUCAUUUUCCCAGACACACGGAGAUGGAUUAGGUAGGGGUGACUCUGAAUCACUUGCAUUGAGUCUACUUCGUACAAAGUCCCUGAGGUCAGUUGAAGGUAGUCUGGUGAUCAGCUUGAUAAUUCCAAAUACUUGACGCGAGGCUAGAUGCUUGAGGGUAAAUCAAGAGGCACAGCAGUUGUAAAUCGUCUCCCCAUAUGGCAAAACCUAUUCUGUCACAAUGAUAAAAAGGUGUUCAAUUAUGGCAGGUAAUGGAGCUUCAGGCAAUAGGAUGUGAGACAGUGAGAGGUCAAGAUAGAGCAACAUACAUUUCUUGCCCAUGGAAUGAUGCCCAUCCAAUAUAUACAGACUGCAAUUUUUAGCAUAUUGAAGAAAGUUGGCCUCUCAUUAAGGCACUAAGAUCACAUUUAGAAAUCUCAAAGAAUUCUGAGAAUGUGUCGAUGCCUUGCAUCAUUCCAUUUAGAAAUCUGAGUUCCAGAAAGGUGUUAAUGCCGAUGUUCCGAAAUUUUGAGACCGUGUUGCAAUCUAUUCUCCUGCCACAGUAACAAGAUUUCUUUACAAUGAACAGUCAUGAUAAUUUCACAUCUGCUAAUGCUAGCAUAAGCCACAUUGAGAAAACAAUUGAUCCUUGGAUUAUUACCAAUCUCUAAGGAAUUGAAAAAGGCCAGAUGGUCAAGCUCCAAAGUUCUUGACGACAUUCCCAGUUCACCAAUCAACGAUAGUAUCAUACGUGAAACAGAAGACACAAAGUCUGGAACAUUCAAAAUCAAAAGCAUCUGUUUUGAUUAUUUAGCAAGAAAAAUAACAUAAUGGAUCUUAUUUGUAUGUAUAUCAAGUUUAACAACACGCCAUUGCAUGACUCCUUAAUUGGCUUCCAAUAUUCAGAUAAUUCAAAGGCACCAUUAUGUUUAAUUCCGAUAUAAAAGACUGUCAAAGAAGGGGGAUAUAAAUUUGUACGAGAGUUAACAAAC